rnacentral:lncRNA from 1 species
CAAAAAAAAAAAACUUUUUGUAUAGACGACAAGAGAGUGAUCUAUUGAGGAAGGAGAGAGAGAUCUGCAAUUUUGUUGUUGAAAGAAAAAAGAGAGAGCCGUCUGGAACUUCUUGAAACCAUCGCCAUCGGGGAUCACCACUACACUGACCCAUACAAUUCAGUUCAUUUUUGGGUUGGGUUGGUCGGGAUCUGCGGUUUGAUGAAAAUGAAGACUUGGUUGCUCGAUGACAAGACGACACCGCAGGAAGAACUAGGUUGUUUAAACCAAGAGAUCUGCGGUUUGAUGGAGAAGCGAAGAGAAGAGAUGGAGACUUUGGAAUUGACGACAUAAAGAAAAAACAGAUGAAAGUUGGGUGUCAGAAAUGAGAACAAAGAAAAAGACUUGUUUAAUAAGAUGAGAGUUGGGUGUCAGAAAUGAUUCAAUGAACAAAGAAAAACACUUGUGGGUGUCAGAAAUGAUUCAAUAAACAAAGAAAAAUACCUGUUUAAUAAAGUAAUGGAUUGAGAAUAUAUAAUUAAUUAAACAAAAUAUCUAGAAGCUAUCAAAUCUUUUAUCAUCUUUACUUUACGUUAGGAGUUUCUAACUAAACAUACAAGAUCUUUUUGCGUUAUGUCUUUUUGGAUGUAUUUUUGCAUUUUAUUAUUCAUUUAUUAUCCAUAGAAGUAUAUUUUUUAGAUGUAAAUAGACACUUAUUUACAAGAUAUAAAAUAAAUUUACAUAAAUCCACCUAGGCGCCCGUCUAGACCCUGCCUAGCCGCCUAGGCGCUAGGCCCCUGCCCACCGCCCGACUAGCGCCUAGCGUUUUUUAGAACCUUGGAUACAAGUCCUUGCGCUAGAUAUAAUUUCCAAAUACGUAAAAAAUUUGACAUUUACUUUAUACAAACUUGAAAAACAUCAUUAGCACCCAGAUUAAUGUUAGGUCUUCUCCAAUGUGUCGAUUUUUGGGUUGUUAAUUGCUAUAUGCUAUAAUAUGGAACUUGAACGUCUACAAUGCACCCUAAUGCAUUAAAAGUUGGAAGUGCAAAAUUCGGUACAAUAUUCUGUCAUUUUUAUUCACUUUCUAUUUUCUAAUACCCUAAGCAAUUUGAUCAUAUCUUGCUUAGUUCAUUUAGACAUCUCACAUUUGACUUGAAAUAUAGUAUGGUACCCCAAAUAUAGUAUUACCAUUAGAGAUGCUGAAUGUGCAUUUAUCCUUGAAAUUGUAUUAAUCAUAAAAUAGUGAAAAUUCCUUUCUUAGAUCUUAAGUGCCCCUCUUUUUUUCUGUUUCUCACUCACUCAUGUCUAAAUCUUGUCGAGUUGCAUAUAUUUAGUUGUACGAAUGAGCAUUAAAUUGUUAAUACCAUGUAAUGUAUAAAGUGUAAAAUAUUGUACUAAUUCAUUAUAUAUAAAUGAUUAUGGUAUGUUUAAACUUCUUUCAUUAAUUACUAAAUAUUUUCUACACUCACAAUGUUUGCCAGCUCACUAUAUAAUCAACUUAAAUCAGUUAAAUCCAUCAUGCAAUGCAUUUCCUUCUAAUUUUUUGUGAUAAACUAAUAGAUAAUUGACUAAAUAAACAUCCUGCAAAGUUUCAAUAAAAAUUUCCAAGUUUUUCUUACAAUUUCCGUGGUUUCCAUAUUAUUUUUAUCGAUAUCGAUAAUAUCCCGAUAUUUCCAUCGAUAUUUCCGUGUUUUUGGAUUAUCGAUAUUUCCGAUAUCAUCGAUAUUUAAUACUAAUAGUCGAAGGUUUGGAUGAACCAUAUAAAUUGAAUUUGCUUCGAAGGUCUGAGAAUUGUAGUUGCCCUCCAUUGAUGAAGCUUUUGUUGGCACCAUAAAUUGGUUUUGCUUCACACUGUCUUGAUCAAGAGUGUGUGAAGCAUUUGAGAAUUGUAGUUGCCCUCCAUUGAUGAAGCUUUUGUUGGCACCAUAAAUUGGUUUUGCUUCACACUGUCUUGAUCGAGAGUGUGUGAAGCUUUUGAGAAUUGUGGUUGAACUCUUUUGAUGAAGCUUUUGUUGGCAACAUAAAUUGGUUUUGCUUCACACUGUCUUGAUCAAGAUUGUGUGAAGCUUUUGAGAAUUCUGGUUGCCCUCCAUUGAUGAAGCUCUUGUUGGCACCAUAAAUUGGUUUUGCUUCACACUGUCUUGAUCAAGAGUGUGUGAAGCUUUUGAGAAUUGUGGUUGAACUCCUUUGAUGAAGCUCUUGUUAGCCUUGUCCAAGCUGGUUUUCAAAGUUCGCUUGAUUAUUUUGUUGAUGGGUUCAACUUGUCCAUUAGACUGGGGAUGAGCUGGGGAGGCAAAACAUAAGUUGAUGUUGAACUUAGAGCAGAACAUCCUGAACUUAUUGUUGUCAAACUAUCGCCCGUUGUCAGUGACUAUCGCAUUGGGAAUGCCGAAUCUGCAAAGGAUGUUCUUCCAUAUGAAGUCUUCUAUUUUUGCCUUGGUAAUGGUUACCAAGGGUUCUACUUCGGCCCACUUUGUGAAGUAGUCAACUGCAAUGAUUGCAUAGCGGACCUUGCCCUUCCCUGCAGGCAUUGGGCCGAUCAAAUCAAGUCCCCAUUGGGCGAAGGGCCAAGGGCUAAUCAUGGGAGUGAGCGGCUCGGGAGGGGAGUGAGGAGUAGUUGCGUAGCGUAGCGUUGACAUUUUUCUUCCAAUCUUGUCUUCCACCGCUGAGGCGAGGCGAGCCAAAGCAUCUGCAUAACUGUUUGCCGCUCGAGGAAUUUAGGUGAUCUGGUAGUGGAAGUGCUGGAGCAACAAUUGUGUUUGUGCCAGAUAUGCUGCCAUAGAGCUAUCCUUAGCAUCAAAGUUGUUAGUGACCUGGUUAACCACCAAUUAGGAGUCACUGAAGAUAUUAAUUCGUUUAACCCCAAGGUGUUUAGCCAAACGUAAGCCUGCUAGGAGGGCUUCAUAUUCGGCCUCAUUGUUCGACACCUUGUAUUUGAAACGAAUAGCAUACUCCAUCGCCACUUUGUCAAGGGUCAUAAGGAUUAGUCCUACUCCACAACCCUGUUGGUUGGACGAGCCAUCAACAUAUAGACUCCAUGUUGGGGCUGUUGGUUCUAUUUUCUGAGCUUCCGAGGGUAAUGAAACCACUUCUUUAGGCGUAGAAACAAUGUCAACAGGAUAUGUGAAGUCGGUGAUGAAGUCUGCCACUGCUUGGCCCUUCCCAGCUGGCUUUGGUUGGUAAGAGAUGUCAAACUCACCCAAUGCUAUUGCCCAUUUGAUCAUUCGCCCGGAAAUGUCAGGACUUUGGAGUAUCUGUCGAAGAUGAUGAUUGGUAAGCACGAUGAUAGAGUGUGCUUGGAAGUAAGGGCGAAUUUUUUGAGCAGACAUGACCAAUGCUAGAGCCAAUUUCUCAAUGUUGGAGUAUCGUGUCUCUGCAUCUUGUAAGGCAUUGCUAGCGUAGUAGACAGGUCGUUCGACAUUACCAUCCUUUCGAAUAAGAACGGAACUUACUGUUGAAGCUGAUACCGACAGAUAGAUAAUGAGAGUGUCACCAACCUCAGGUUUGGAGAGCAAAUGGGCUUUACUCAUGUAGUCUUUGAGGUUCUUGAAUGCCUCAGCACAUUCAUCAGUCCAUGUAAUGUAGUUCUUACUUCCCUUAAGUGCUUUGAAGAAAGGAACACAUCUGUCUGUGGCUUUAGAGAUGAACCUAGUUAAGGCUGCCACCUUGCCAGUAAGGCUCUGAAUGUCUUUUGAAGUUACCGGUUCCUUCAUGUCGAUGAUUGCUUUGAUCUUCUCGGGAUUAGCCUUAAUGCAUCGUUGGCUUAUCAUGAAGCCUAAGAAUUUGCCAGAGCCUAUGCCGAAGGCACAUUUGUUGGGGUUCAACCUCAUUCGAUACCUAUUCGAAAUGGUGAAAGUUUCAGAUAGGUUGGUAAUGUGUUGGUCAGCAUGUUUGCUCUUGACUAGCAUAUCAUCAACGUAAACUUCCAUGCUCUUCCCAAUCUGUUCGGCGAACAUUGAAUUAACCAGUCUCUGAUAAGUCGCUCCUGCAUUCUUUAGGCCGAAGGGCAUGACUUAUAUCAAUAUAGUCCCCUGUCAGUAGUGAAGGCUGUGUGUUCUUGGUCUAGAGGGUUCAUAAGGAUUUGGUUGUAUCCUAAGUAAGCAUCCAUGAAGCUCAAGAGUUCACACCCUGCCGUAGAGUCUAUAAGUCUGUCUAUGAGAGGAAAAGGAAAGCUAUCAUUCGGGCAUCCUUUGUUUAGGUCGGUGUAAUCGAUACACAUUCUCAACAAGACCUUUUGGCGCAGGAGACUUUUCUUGGUCGGAUUCUUCUUAACAAUGACAACAUUUGCUACCCACGUUGGAUAAUUGGCUUCGCGGACGAAGCCUAUACCUUUGAGUUUUUCAACUUUUGUCUUAAUUGCCUCGUACCGUUCAGCGUCAUAAGAUCUUCGCUUCUGUCUCACUAGCUUAGUCUUGGGGUCAAUACUUAAGCGAUGACAGAUUAUAUCGGGAGAGAUGCCUAGCAUGUUCUCGUAUGACCAGGCAAAGACCUCAGUGUUCUCUUGCAAAAAAGAGAUUAAUGCCAACCGAAUGAGUGGUGACAAGGUGGUGCCAAUCUUCACCAUGCGAUCCGGAUAAUCUUUUGAGAUAAAGACAUUCUCCAACUCUUCAGCGGGUUGUGCUUGCUGGGUGAAAGAGUCAUCUUGAGGAUCGUCGGGUUGACUUUUGCCACCGUGAAGAUCCACGUUGGCUUCGCCUGGGCUGGUAUUUAUGACUUGGUCAUGUGUAGAAAGGGUUUCCUUGGGCACAGGCAAGUGUUGUUCCUUGACCGAAGUGUUGUAACAUGAUCGUGCACUAAGUUGAUCUCCUCUGAUGUAACCAUUGCCAUAAGGGGUUGGAAAUUUCAUCAACAACAUAUGUGUGGAUACCAUGGCCUUGAGAUCAUUGAUGCAUGUGCGUCCGAAGAUGACAUUGUAUGCCGUUGGGCAAUCAACCACCAGGAAAUUAAUGGUAAUGGUAGCUGUGUAAGGGCCUGUACCAAUGGUGAAAGGUAAGUGUAUGCUCCCCAAAGGUUGCACGAUAUCACUGGAGAAGCUUAUCAGAGGGGAAAUCAAGCGAUCGAGCAAGUGUUCAGCUACAUUAAGUGCCCUGAAAGCUUCAGCAAACAACAUAUUGACCGAAGCCCCCGUGUCUACCAGGAUUCAUCGUACUUCAAAUUUGGCUUUGUGAGCUUCCACGAUCAGUAGGUCAUUGUGAGGGUAGAUGAUACCUUUUUCUUCAUCAGGGUAGAAACAUAUUGGAUCCCAGUUAGGCUUUUGAUACUUACCUCCCUUGAUGUCUUCCACGUGAAACACAUAGUGGCCAGACCUUAAAGCUCGUUCACUAUUUUUCAUGGCCCUAUUGGAAGAUUUAGAUAUGGGUAUGCCACCACUUAUGGAAUAUAUCACAUUUACCUGGCGUUAGUUACGGUUACCCCUUGGAGGGUGAAAGAGGAAUUGAUCAAUUUUCCCUUCACGUGCCAAAGCUUCAAUAUGAUCACGAAUGGUGAUACACUUCUCGCCAUCAUGGCCGUUAUGCUUGUGGUAACAGCAAAACGUGCCCAUGUUCUUCGUGGGCUUGUAAUCCGGGCACCUCGGCUUUGGCUUCGGUAUCAAAUGUGUUAUGCUGGGGUAAAUGGCCACGCAUGUGGCGUUCAAAGGUGUGUAUGCCUCAUACCUCGGGGUAAGGGCUGUCAUGACACGUGCUUGACCCACUGUGUUGACUGCUUUGGGUCGGGGAUUAUCAUGGCGAUACCCUUGGUUAUCGCGGUAGUGUCCCUUACUCUUUUUACUAAAAUGAGACUGGUGAGGAUGGAAAUAUUUCCUUUUGCCCUGAGAUUGAUAUGUCUGUUGACUUGACAAAGUAUUAAGUAAGGCAGGGGGAGGCGCCACUGCCGUUUGGAAGGUCGAGGUCUUCUCAUUUUGUUGGAUCUGGCUUCCACUCCCUACUUGCUGAUAAGGGGUGGUUGUGGGGGGUUUCCCUUGAUAUAUCCUUGCCUCGGCGGAGGCAUGGUUGUAAGCCUAUGCCAUCACCUCAGAGUAAGUCUUCCAAGUGUUGGCAUUGACCAUGUACUUGAAGAAACAAUCACGUAGGCAUGCCGUGAAGGCCUUAAGGGCGGUCUUGUCAUCUGCCUCAACGCAGCAAGAAUACUCAUGGCUGAAACGACCAACAUACUCUCGUAGCGACUCGUCUAGCUUCUGGUGAAUAGUGUACAAGUCAUCUGCAGAAUGCAAGCGAUCGGUCUGGAAGAUGUGUUGAGAGACAAACAGUUUCCUCAGUUCCUCAAAUGAGUCUACUGUCUCAAAUGGAAGACAGCAAUACCAGUUUAGAGCUCUACCAGAGAGGGUGGAGGGGAAGAGAAGACAUCGCUCUUCGUCGGUGUGCAUUCGAUAUGCCAUGGUGGACUCAAAGAGGUUAAGGUGUUCAAUUGGGUCCUCCCUUCCAGUAUAAAGUUGUAAACCAAGCUUUUGUUUUGUUUUCGCUUGAAGGGGGGUGUCAAGGAUCCUCCUUAUGAGAGGGCCAGGCCUGGGUUGGUUCCAGUCAGGUAUCUCGGCCUGACGUUCGACCUUCAACUUAUUUACUUUCUCAAGGAGUUGUAGGACAAGGGGGUCUUGAGUGGAGUCAUGUACCACUGGGAUUUUCUUUCGUAAGUCUCCAUCGCCUCUUUGAAGUAGGAAAGUUUGAGCAAGGGCGUGUGAUUUUUCCUUGGACUCGCCGUACUGACUUCUAGGGCGAGUCUGUCGGAAUACCUCAGAGUCCUAUGUACCUUUAUGUUCCUCUAGGACAUGUUGUUCUUUCCCUAUAUUGACAGCUGGUUUGGGUCGUGGGAGGGGACCGGGUCUUUCAGAAACCCUUGGGUCAUUGAUCUUCGAGCAUAUGUGGAUGGGAUUCUCUCGACGUUGCUUUAGGAAGUCUCGGCAAUCACGAUAAACGACUUUCGAUCCUUCCAACCAUUUUGCAAUGAGGUGUCUUCCUCCACUUCUCCUGCUUUGGGUCAAAGCAGCUGGGUUGAGAGAAGUCUCAUGUUGAUCAAUGUUUUGAUGAUUAGCUUGUUCCUCAUCAGGGAUACCCAUGUCGAAGAAAUGUGACCCUCCGUGUUGGGGGGCAUCCAGAUGAUGGUUGAUGUCCACAUGGGUAACAAGCUCGCGUGUUUGAGUACGCAUAGUUUCGUGGAGCGUCUCAAAGAGCUUCUCAUACUGCUCCUGGAGGACCUCAUUCUUCAUUGCUAUUUUGUUGUUUUGAGCUUCUAGCUCAUCGACUUUAGCUUGAAGAGCAUCCCUUUUUCCUUCAUUCUUUUAUUGCUUCGCACUAGGUGCAAGAGGGGUGUCAUUAUGUGUGUUGUGGCUUCCUUCGCUCCCCAUGUUGGAGAGGGAUGCCUUGUCAAAAAGAGUGACGAAUGGUGGAAACCAGCUUGACAAAGUUGAAAAGAGUGGGAAUAAGUGUCGUUCCCCAGACGGCGCCAAAUGUUGAUGCAUAAAAUCAGUGGGGACUUUGGUACAACAGAAAAUGUUAAGUUUGUGACAUUCGCUAGAUUGCUUCGGUCACUAGUGUGGAUAAGUAUGUAAAUGGAUAGGGACAAGGAAGCAAACACAAGAUGUACGUGGUUCACCCAGAUUGGCUACGUCCACGGAUUAGAGGAGUUCUCAUUAAUUGUGAAGGUUUACACAAGUACAUAGGUUCAAGCUCUCCUUUAGUGAGUACUAGUGAAUGAUUUAGUACCAAUGACAUUAGGAAAUAUUGUGAGAGAAUGAUCUCUAUUUAUAGAAGAGAGUUUCUAGUUUCAUUUUGACAUUGACACGUGUCGUGUUGUGAUUGGCUUCUGAUGUUGACACGUGUUGCGCUAUGAUUGGCUUCUGAUGUCGACACGUGUCACGCUGUGAUUGGCCUCCUGAUUGGAAGGAAACUCUUCUGGGUCCUUGACGGUAUAACGUUGACCAGUGCUCAGUAGUUUCGGGAUUGGUCAAGUAUGGUACAAACACUAAUUUUAUUUAUUUUUAUUUGGGAAAUGUUUGAAUUGAAAAUUAAUUAGGAGUUUAAUAAGGGUGUGAGUAUUAAAACUCUAAAUCAAUUACUAUUUUUUUUUUAUAAAAAUUAUGUAACUUACAUGUAAUUCAUUAAUAUAUUAAUGAUAGGGACUUUGAUCAAAAUCUAAAAACUGAUAAGGUCUUAGUUAAUGGACAUUAGAAACUAGGGACCGUAAACUAAUUUUUCCUAAAUAAAAAUAGGCAACUGGCAUUCCCUAUAGUGAAUAUGGGUUUUUGGCUAAGUUAGAUUAAUGGUUUCGUGGUAAUAAGUUAAUCGGAAGAUAAUUUUCGUGAUGAAAAUACUCGGAUUUAAACUCUCGUUAAGUCCGUUAGGUUUAAGCUUAAAAUUAACAUAUCUGUUAACAUCCCCACUCAACUUUUUUCCAGGUAACACAAGUGGUCCAUGAACCCCAAAACCCCUGUCAAAUUGGGAGGAGGAUUCUCUCAUCUCAUAAACUCUCUCCUCUUCCCACCCAUCCUACUUAAACAGUUACGGUUAAGCCACGUCAAUAUUUUGUUAAGAAUCAAUGUCAGCCCAAAAGACCAACACAAGUUAUCAUACAAAGCCCAAAUGAUAAAGCCCAAGUCCUAUCUCAAGCAAUUUGUUGAAGCUCGUAGAAACUUCUCAACAUGUGUGGAAUAGAUGAUAUUUUGUGGCAAGUUUGCUGCAAAGCACUUUGUGUGGUAGAGAAUUACUUAGUUUAAAUAAAUGUGUGAUGUGUAUCUCAUAUAGCUUGCUAUAAAUACCCAAGUAUUCUAGCCUUGUAAAUCAUCGAGAAGUGAAGAAGAAAAUAAGACUACAAGUCUUAUAGUGUGUUGAGUGUUUGUGAGAGUUGAGAGCUAUCUUUGUAAUAUUUUCAAUUUAAUAAAAUCUUUUGUUGUGUCUCAAAUUUUCGAGUGAAUUUCUUCUUUGACAUAUAAAAUUUAGAGUUAUUUAUUCUAAAUUUUUCUCAACACAUUUUAUAUUGAUUUUUAUAUAGAGAUAAUAAGACAAAAAAAAACAUAUAAGAGAAAGGAAGGGAAGGAAAUGAGGAUAAGAGGAAAGAGAAUUCUAUUCCGUCAAAUUGUUGUCGAAUGCUGACUGGCUGACAGCCACUUCGGCUCCGACGACUAGAGGCGUGAAGCCACUGAACAUUAGAGUUGAAUACUUUUAAUUUUUUUCAAUUUUCUGAACAAGAGAUCGUUUAAUGGAUGAGAGAUCUUCUCUCUCCGAUUUUUCCACUCGGGCGUGUGAAAUCAGCUUCUGGGUCCAAUCAGAUUCGGUUGCUGAAGCAGAAAUGCUUCAACUCCCUCAGAUAACAGGGCUCUUUGACUCGAUUCUUCAGAUUCAGAUCUUUGUUUUCAGUUGCAGAAAAAUGGUGUUUGAAAACUGGUUUUGAUUUCGAAUCACUCCUCACCAACAUUCAAACCAAUCUCACUACCACCCAACUUCCGUCGACCAAUCCCGAUUCUCCGUUUUCAAUCAGAUUGCGAAAUUGUUUUAAAAAAAUUCAGCUAUGAUCUUGAGUUUGUCAUCUCUUCUAUAAACUCCAGGUGUUGGGUUUUACGUUUAAAUCCAAAUUCCUACAAAAUUAACAAACAAUUCAAUUAAAGUUCCACGUAAGAAACCAUAACUAAGAUUUUAAAUGUUACUUCAAUCAUCUAAUGCUGCAAAAAAAAAAAUUAAAUAAAUAAAAUAGUCGUUCAAAUGGACAAAAGAGCUUUGAAUGGUAUCGAUGGAUCAAAGAAUUCAUAGCUUUGGAUGAAUGAGAUUUUUUUCCCUUUUGGUUAUGAAGUCUGAAUGGGUUAACGGAGUCGAUGAAAAUGUUAAGUCUGAGCUUAAAUCAAACUUCACCAUGAAAAUUUCAUAACGAGAAUUAUCUUCUGAUUACUUUAUCACUACAAGAACCAUUAAUCCAAUAUGGCCUAAUCUUUUUUUUCUUUUAUAUUGAAAUAUUAAUGUUUAUUAAAACCACCAUAAAGCUUGGCAGCAAAAGAAAGAAAGCACCAUUUAUGUAUACAUGUACGUUUGUUUGACUUGGGAAUUUGGAUCUAUGAUGUAUGUAAUGUCGUUUCCGCCAUACGUUGGUCAGCAAAAGCUAGCUAGCGUACGUUGGAUUCUGUCUAUGGGAGUGGACCCAAUGGAAAGUGGGACGUCGCCAAAAUGCAGAAAUCGUUGAAAAUAGCCAAAAUGCAGAAACCAUUGAGAGAUAUAUUUUUUAUUUUUUAUUGAAAGAGAUGUUUACAUUGCAAUAGAUGUACAACAAUUGUGUGAUAAUUUAAUUUUUACAUUUAAAUGUUUUUAGUGAUAAUGAACUUAUUAUGUGACGUUUUUAAGGCAUAAAAUAUCGCCGACAACAAUUACAAGUUGUUUGUAUUGAUAAAUUAUUAACAACAUUAAUAUUGUCUAUUAUCUAAAAGAAUUUGAUUACUUACAUUUUUUUUGGAACCUAUUAUGCUUUUAAAUUUCACCCAUCCCCUCGAAAAUUCUGGCUUUGCCAAUGGCACGACCGUAUUCAGAAGAAGAACAAAGUUAGCUCAGUAGUUGCUCGAUCUGCAUGCCACGUGGGCUUUGUAAUUUUCAGAAUCAACAGUAGCUAAAAUCGUUUUUUGAAUGCUGUUAACUUGUUAAUUUAAUAAAAAUUUAGAGUUUCUAUUAGAAGCAUUCUUACACUUAUUUUCAACUGGGCGCAACUGGCCACAUUAGGCAUGUUGUAGCUUUGCCAGUGGUUGUAGGGGGGUGGGGGUCGGGGAACUAAAAGAGAAGGCAAUAUUAGCAUGACCAAUCAAGGGUGGCUUAGGAAAAUGAUGCAAAAAUGUUAUGGAGACAUGCUUGUUUGUUCUUUUCUCUUCAUUGGAAUUGUGGAAGAAAUAAGGAGAUGCUUGCCUUUUGUGUUCUCUUCAUUGGAAUUGGAUUCCUAGAUCUGCAAACAAGCAGGCUCAUGCGGCUACAUCGUUGGUGAUACAGAGGGGUGUGCUCUUCGAGAUGGGACUAUGUGCCCCCAUUCCUUUCUUGUCGGUGUUUUGUCUAGGGAUGGAAUCCCUUGUCCCCUGUUGGCUGUAGGGGCUAUUUCCUGGGGUGAAAAUAGCCCCAGUUUUUACUUAUAGAAACAUUUAUGUUCCUACUCUAUGUAAGAGCUGUGCUUAUCUUCUUCUUGUCCGAGGAGUCUUUUUAUAUUUUCUUCUCCAUGCUGCUUUGUUUAUGGUAUUCCUCAUACUGCUUUGUUAAAGGAAUUCUUCAUGCUGCUCUAUAUAAGAGAUGUGUUUAUCUUCACUUUUAAAAUAUGAGACGAUACGUUAUUUGUUAUUAUACAAGUAAAAAAAAUUGUUUUUUAAAGUGUCCUAUGGUACAUAUGCAUAUUUAUCGAACACAUUAAAAAAAAUCUCUGACCUUCUCCAACUUGUAUGUGGUUGCAUAAUUGCAUUGCAUGGUCCGUUGGAUCCUGCGUACAGCUUAAACGUUAUAUUACUAGGAACAUACGUAAAUGUUAUGCAUGCAUGAUGUCAGUCAGUCAAAGUCAGAGAAACAAUUAAAAGUGUAAAAGUCUAUCCAAUUCAAUUCGAUCGGUCGAAAGUCGCCGAUCCAGAUGACUGAAUAAUUUGGUUUCCAAGUGUCCAUUAGUCGUUGUUUUAAUAAAGAAUUAACAGUUGUUCAAUUACGUACUUAUCAUAGUUACUGCAUAUUAAUUAGUCGUGGUUGUUUGAAUUUUGACAAGGAAGAGAAGAAGAAAUAUUUUAACAAUUUGGUAAAGGGAGCUCUUAGCUAUCCGUCAAACCUUCUGUUUGUAUUUUCACAUUGGAGAGAGACAUUGUUCUCCCUCUCUCAAGGGUUUUACACGGUAGUUUUUCCUUUGGAGGAAAAAUCUAUUUAACUUCUCUCACACGCCACAAUUCCUAGUUCUAGUUGCAUUAACAAUUAAUACAACUUUACAUUAAUAUUUCAACACUGGUCCCAUGGAUGACGGACAGACUGAGAGCAUUGAUAUCGAAACUGGGCGUAUGGGAGGGAUUAUAUGGAGUAUUAAUAUUUUAUUCCGACGCUUUUCAUGACCGGUACUAAUUAAAUUAAACUCAGAAUCCUAUAUAUACAUGCGCAUGUCGAUUCCUGUUUGAUCCAUAUAUUCGAUCAGAAAUACAAUGUCAUCAAUAUCAGAGAGGAGCCGCACAUCACAAGUCAUAACAUGCAAAGGUAUGCCUAUUGCCUAAUGAAUGAAUUACGGCCUGCACACAGUCGGUAUUGCAUAUAUAACAUGCAUACAAAUAUAUAUAAUUAAGUUCAUUAAUACAUAUAAUAAUUAAUUAAAUGUGAUGUGGUGGCGCAUGCAUGCAGCGGUGGUAUGCUGGGGAGUAGGAGAAGCAUGGAAGGUGGAAGAGAUAGAGGUAGAGCCUCCAAAGAGGUCUGAAGUUCGGGUGAAGAUGCUCUAUGCCAGUCUCUGUCACACUGAUAUCUUGAUCUCCAAAGGACACCCAAUUGUAAUUACUAAUUACUACCUCAACUCAAUAUUCAUCCCUUAAUUUAUAACAGUAAUAAUCAUUAUAUCGUUUACUUAAUUAAUUUGAUUUUGUAGUAAGGGUUUAUUUUCUUUCUUAAUUUAAGAUGGUCUUGUGAUAAUAUUUUGACAAUUAAUUAAGAGGGCCGGCGGGUGUGCUUUUUUUUUUUUCCAGCCUCUCUUCCCUCGAGUUCUUGGUCACGAAGGCGUUGGGUACGUACAUACGUAGUAUUGUUCAUUAUUCAUUUAUAUAUAUAGGGACACACUUUUUUACACAUAUUUUGACACAUGUUUUUGUGGGGUCCACUUCGUAAUAUACUUUAAUGAUCUAACUGUUUAUCUUUUAUGUCUUACCUCAAAGUUCAUGUCUACAAAAAAUUUCUCAAAUUCCAAGCUAUAUUUAUUUGUAGAACCGUAUUAGUCAAUUUUCUUGACAACAAAUGAAAUAUCUUAAUAAUUUUGGAUUUGUCUAAUUUUUUUGCAAUGAUAGUCCAUGAAUAAUGUACUAAAAUUUAGACUGUUCGAAGAGUUGCAAUACAUCAUAAAAUCAGCCCUACAAAAUAGAUAUCACAAUGUGUGUCAAAAGCGUGGAUCUUAACCUUGUAUAUGCGCCAACUAAUUUUGCUGCAUGCAUUUUUGCGCGCGCAUGUAGUGUGGUGGAGAGCAUCGGGGAGGAUGUAAGAAACAUAAACGGAGGAGACGUGGUGAUUCCAACGUUUGUCUCAGAGUGCGAAGAAUGCGAGAAUUGCGUGUCGGGAAAGACAAACAUGUGCCUGAAAAAUCCUUUACCCUUCAGCGGUCUAAUGCCGGAUGGCACUUCGAGAAUGUCCGUUGCCGGACAAAAGCUCUACCAACUCUUUUCUUGCUCCACAUUGUCCGAGUACAUGGUGGUUAAUGUUAACUACCUCCUCAAGCUUCCUGGUAUUAGUACGACUAGUCCUAGUCUCCCCCACGCUAGCUUCCUCUCGUGCGGAUUUUCUACUGGAUUUGGGGCUCCUUGGAAGGAAGCAAAGGUUGAAAAGGGAUCAACCGUCGCGGUCGUUGGUCUUGGUGCUGUUGGAUUAGGGGUAAGUACCAGUACUAUGUAAUGACAUUUACUAGUAAUUAAAUGAUUAACUAUUGUAUUCAUCUGAGUAAUUAGCUGUAAACAACAACUAAUUAAUUAAAUGGCCGGCCGACAGGCCGUUGAGGGGGCUAGAGCGCAAGGUGCGGCUAGGAUCAUUGGCAUCGACAAAAAUGAGAGGAAAAAAGGAAAAGGAGAAGCGUUCGGAAUGACUGAUUUUAUAAACCCCGAUGACGACGGUGAUUGUAAAUCGGUUUCUGAGCUGAUCAAACACUCAACGGCUGGAAUGGGUGUUGAUUAUUGCUUCGAGUGCACUGGCUUUGCCCCCUUCAUCAAUGAAGCGCUUGAAGCCACAAAAUUGGUAUAUACUUUACUCUCUUUUUUCAUUUUGUUUUUCCAUACGAGGAGUACAAAAUCUGUUCAUUUAAUUUCAUCUUUUUUAUCUGUUGCUUGCGUGCAUGCAUGGUUGUGCUUGUAUCAGGGAACAGGAAAGGCAAUAGUGAUUGGAACCUCGACUGCAACAAGCGUUCAAAUUAAUUCCCUUCCCCUUUUGUGUGGACGAACCUUGAAAGGCUCCAUAUUUGGAGGGCUCAAACCGAAGACCGACCUUCCCGUUAUAAUCGACAAAUGGAUGAACAAGGUGAAGUACUAGCUCCUAACCCAAAGUCCUUGCUAGAUAUGAGGAUUGUGAUUGACAAUUUCCGUUUUCAUUUGUUUUUUAAAUUGAUUUCCCUCACAGGAUAUGCACCUUGACGAGCUUUUGACUCAUGAAGUUCCUCUGAUAGACAUAAACCAAGCACUCGAGCUUUUAAGGCAUCCUGAUUGCGUCAAGGUUCUUAUCAAGAUUUGAUGGCCUUGCUUGCCUGUAUGCAUCUUGUUACAAAUAAAUGAGUUCAUUCGAGCCCCAUAUGUAUUGUCGACACAAGGAAUAAAUGAACAUUGAUAUGUUUUCGGAUCUCUAGCAUCUGAAUAAGUAGUGAAAUAUAUAAGCGUCAUCUAAUGUUCGCCCGUAUCACAAUAUUCGAAUAGUCACACAGAUAAGUACAACCAGCAACCAGAAACUCCGGAAAGUAAGCCCCAACUCAACCUACCUUAGCAGAAUCAAGUCACAGCCCUAAGGUUCCUAAAAUAACUGCAGCUCUCCAACCUAGCAAAAAAUAACAGAGAGGGAUAAAUCCUAAUCCUACGUUGCAACUAAAGAAUACAUAAAGAAGAUCACACACGGCCAGCUGAAAGAAAAAUAGUGAGAUGUUAUUCGACACUGACAAGUACAACUCCCAACACUACUAAGGCGAUCGAGCUGCCUUUCUUUGGGCCUGUUUUCUAAUCUUGACCAAAGCCUUGCACAGGAUUAUUUCAAUUGAAGCCUAAUAGCAUAUCAGCUACGUCUUCAGCACUGGAAAAGAUCAAUCAUGUUCAUGAAACAAAAUAUACUAAAUUGUUACUUGGUUCAGCUCAAUCAGAAGACAUCUGAACUAGGAAUUUAUCCAUUACGUACAAACUUCAAAGGGCUAGAAAUCCAUUUAUUAAUCCUCCAACUUGUAAUCACAAUUAUGAUUGAAAUGGCAGCUUUUGCAAAGUCUGACUACUAUAACCAUAGUACUGAAAUAAACAACAUCCUCCAAAACAAUUAUGGCAAGAUCACAUAGUUACACAUCCAGUUUUAAACCCCAUUAGUUAGCACCAUUGGUACCUCAAGAGACUGAAACAAAUCUCACAUGGUAGCUUCUACUUCAGGAUCAUUUUUUAUUGGCACCGUGGGCGCAUCAUUGUUCCCACCUCUCAAACGAGAAGACACAUUGUCAAUGGCUGAAUUGAGCUGGCUUAUUUUUGCAUUCAAUGUCAUCCUAGUCUUCCGCUUUCCAGAAAAAUGAAGAUGAGUUAAUAUUUUUUUGAGCCAGAAAAAUGGGAAAUUUUUUUUUUAAUAGAUUGCAUAUCCAACAUGUGGGAAAUGGCGGAUGUCAUAGGGAUCCCAAGUCUCUGCAUUUAGAGAAAUCUAAACCAUUUGAUUCAUCUAACGGAAUCCACUAUUCCACAUCAGAAUAAUUGCUUUACAUUUAAACUCAUGUUUUGUACCGUAUCACUUACUACCACUCCCCCUCUUUAAUGAGUUCUAUUUGUUUCUACCCUCCACGUUCCUUUUUAAUUGUUCAUCUUUUCCCAGUAAGAAAAAAAAUUCCUACUCUUUCUCCAGUCUCACUAGUCGAAAACCGAACAGUAAAAAGUCAUAUUCCUUUUCUUUUUCCAUUUUAAUUUUUCGUAUGUUUGUCCAUCUCUUCAAUUUUUAGCUUUCUCAAUCUUUCAUACAUUUGAAAAGCUUUUAAGGACGUAUCUAACAAUGAUCGACUAAUUUUCUUCUAUAAUUUAUUUGAUCGCAAAAAAGGGGUCGGCCUUGCCCACCCAUUAUUUCCUAAACCUGUUGACUUGCUUACUUGGGAAAUUUGAAGAGAUUUAAAUCUCAAUCGCAUUGGGAUUCAAGAGAUCUUCAUGAACAAAAUAAUUAUUAUAUAAAACAAAGAAUAAGUGGAUUUUGGCUUUGCUUGGAUCGGGAGCAGUGAGUUGGGAGAUGAAUAAAUUUAUAUUGUGAGGCAGUGGGGAUUCUGGGCAAAAUUAAAAGUUAAAACAAAAAUAACUUGAAAAGAAAGUAGUGAGUGAUACGGUACAAAACCUGAGUUUUUUUUAACAAAAAACAUGAGUUUUUAAUUUAAAAAAAUUAUGCUGAUAUGGAAGGCUUAGUUCUGUUAGAUCAAUCAAAUGAUUUAGAUUUCUCUAAAUGCACGUAAAUGCACUAAAGCUAAAUGUAAAGACUCGGGAUCCAUGUCCCAGUUACCUCCAAACCUUCAUCGUAAUAUAUAGGUCUUCUUGCUUUCCGGAAUCCAUAUUCAUCUUCAUUAAGUAGAGAUCUUCUAAUCUGCAUAAGACAAAAGUGAAAUCCAGAAUAAAAACCCAUAUGAAAAAAACAUAUGCGGAAUGGUCAUCCUAUGCUUCAAAGAAUGGCUGGACGAGGGUUUUGUAUCAAGGGAUUUAGUCAACAUUAGCAAGAAAUGCACUACAAAACAUUAGAUAAGGCGAUUGAAAAUGCACUACAUGAGCAUUACAAAGUCACUCCACAAAGAAUUUUCAAAUGGCUCCUUUCUAGUAGUCAUUUACAAAUCCCUCUAUCUAAUGUUUUGCAGUGCAUUUCAAACCCUUAACCAGGAAAUCAUUCAUCAAAACACAAGAUUAAGGGUCUUUGUGCGAAAACAUGUAGCCAACAGGAAUCAAGACCAUAUAAAGAACACUAAAUGUUGACAGACAGAUAAUAGUAAUCUGCGGAUGAGGAGCACAAGUUGUCAAUCUUUUCAUUCAUACGGAGCAGUUUGCAUCCUGAAAUCAAUGGGAGCAUGGGAAUCUAAAAUCUAAACUUACGUGAUCAAUUAUAAUAAUAAUAAUAAUAAUAAUAAUAACAAUAAUAAUAAUAAGACGAAGAAGAAGAAGAAUGGGCAUGUCAUCAGAAAAAGUUGGCGCAGCAAAUUUCAAAUUUCUGCAGUAGAGCAUCAUUACAGUGAUCUCUUUGCUUGCAUCAACAGUAUAGUAAAAAACAACAACAAAGCCUUUUCCCACUAAGUGGGGUCGGCUAUAUGAAUCCUAGAACGCCAUUGCGCUCGGUUUUGUGUCAUGUCCUCCGUUAGAUCCAAGUACUCUAAGUCUUUUCUUAGAGUCUCUUCCAAAGUUUUCCUAGGUCUUCCUCUACCCCUUCGGCCCUGAACCUCUGUCCCGUAGUCACAUCUUCGAACCGGAGCGUCAGUCGGCCUUCUUUGCACAUGUCCAAAUCACCGGAGCCGAUUUUCUCUCAUAUUUCCUACAAUUUCGGCUACUCCUACUUUACCUCGGAUAUCCUCAUUCUCAAUCUUAUCCUUUCUCGUGUGCCCACACAUCCCACAAAGCAUCCUCAUCUCCGCUACACCCAUUUUGUGUACGUGUUGAUGCUUCACCGCCCAACAUUCUGUGCCAUACAACAUCGCUGGCCUUAUUGCCGUCCUAUAAAAUUUUCCCUUGAGCUUCAGUGGCCUACGACGGUCACACAACACGCCGGAUGCACUCUUACACUUCAUCCAUCCAGCUCGUAUUCUAUGGUUGAGAUCUCCAUCUAAUUCUCCGUUCUCUUGCAAGAUAGAUCCUAGGUAGCGAAAACGGUCGCUUUUUGUGAUCUUCGCUAGAUUGCUCCGGUCAUUAGUGUGGAUAAGUAUAUAAAUGGAUAGAGAUAGGAAAGCAAACACAAGAUGUACGUGGUUCACCCAGAUUGGCUACGUCCACGGAAUAGAAGAGUUCUCAUUAAUUGUGAAGGGUUUACACAAGUACAUAGGUUCAAGCUCUCCUUUAGUGAGAACAAGUGAAUGAUUUAGUACAAAUGACAUUAGGAAAUAUUGUGGGAGAAUGAUCUCGUAAUCACGAAACUUCUAAGUAUCGGAGUGUGGUGUCGUCUUGACUUGCCUUAUCUGUCUCAUAGGUAGAUGUGUCAUCUUCUCUGGAAGUACUCUUCCUCCAUCCAGGGGUGGUAUCUUUAACUGGUGGAGAUGCACAAGGUAAUGUAUCAAUUUCACUUGAAGCUUACUUGUAGUUUCAAGCUUGGUCAAGCGCGAUACAAACCAUGUAGUAGGAGUCCCCCAAGUCGCCGAGCUAGGGGGUCUGCUGAAAGAGGUGACAGACAAGGUAAGCAAUCAGAGCACCGACUGAUUGUUCACCUUCUCCCCAUCUUGCAGCAGCAUGAAGGAUAAAGAGAAGAAAAAAAAUGAGAAGAGAUGAUAUGAGAUACUUUUGCUUUUGAAGAAGUAACUUUCCACAGGCUUAUUCUUGAACUGAGCUGGAGGGUUUUCUGGUUUCCUCCAAAGUAUAAGGCCGACUGAAGAAUUUGAGGGUCAAAACAAGUCCAUCAAAUCUAGAGUACGUUCCACCCUGCUGAUAUGGGAUACUUUUGCUUUUGACAGAGUAAUGGAUGUAUCGGCACGUGUGCUGUUACGCUUGUCUCCACAUGCUUCCUUGUAUCCUUCGCACUUGCCCUAUCUGUUCCUCAAGCAGAUGCGGAAUCUUCCCUGGAAACAUAAGAUGUUGAAGAUGAGUACUCGAGAGCAAUGUCAGGUAAGUAAUCAGGUAAGGGGUUCCAGGCAGUCAGUUCCUGGCUGGAAGCUUGAUUCCAAGUGCUGACUGAUUGCUCUCUUUCUCCUUGUCUUGCAGGUAAAAACAAGGCCAAAGGAAAAGACAGGGAAAAAGCAUGAUAUGGGAUACUCUUGCUUUUUAACCCUGAUGAUAUGAGAUAUUCUUGCUCUAGUAUAGCUUGUUUGCAGAGGUAUUAUCGGGGGGAAAGAAAGCUGAAUAUUUCGAAAGGCUUCGUUGGGAGUGCCCUCUCAGAUAUGAUGAAGGGUUGAGCAUUUUUGCAGGUCUGCCUGUCCGUUGGGGAUGGAGGUCGACAUAUAUAGGAGUCUCCCUAACAACAAGUAGUAAUGCUAUUCAUUUACCCUACUUGGUCAUAGCACGGUAGUGGGAGCUGCCAGUUUCACAUGUGUUAACUCUGUCAGAGCACUUUGAAAAAGUGGUCUGUGGUAUCUGGCUCUCGAGAUUCGGAGAACGAUGCCUCUUCGAUUUUUGAGAAAGCAAUCAUGCUGGGGGUCUGGCUCUCGAGAUUCGGAGAGCAGUGUCUCUUCGAUUUUUGAGGAAGUAAUCAUGUUGGGAGUUUGGCUCUCGAGAUUCGGAGGGCGGUGCCUCUUCGAUUUUGGAGCAAGCAAUCCUGUUGGGAGUGUUGUCUCGAAUGUGAGUAAAGGUUGGGCAUGUUUGCUAGUCUACCUUGCCCGGAAGCACAAAGGUUGACACACAGGGACUUUCCAAUUAUCUAGCAAUGGUACUGUUCCUUUACCCUCUCUUCGCUUUUGAGAAAGUAGUCAUGUUGGGAGUCUGGCUCUCGAGAUUCGGAGGACGGUGCCUCUUCGAUUUUGGAGCAAGCAAUCUUGUUGGGAGUGUUUUCUCGAAUGUGAGUAAAGGUUGGGCAUGUUUGCUAGUCUACCUUGCCACGAAGCACAGAGGUUGACACACAGGAACUUUCCAAUUAUCCAGCAAUGGUACUGUUCCUUUACCCUUGUGGGUAAUAAUAUGGUAGCUAGACCUUCAAAAUUUAUGUGUCUAAACUUUGUUAGUGCUGUUUCUUUGCUAUUCUUUUACCUUUCUUGGUCAAAGCGAUGUAGUGGGAGCUGCAAGCUUCACGUGCUCAACUUUGGCAGAGAACUUUGGCAAAGUUAUCUAUGGUACCCAUGAGCUAUUGUUGCGUGUGGGAAGUGGGUGAUUGAACAGUAAGAUUCAUGUGCUUUCUACUUCACCAGAAGUCUUCGACAGAAUGCCCAUAAUUUCUGCAAAGCUGAGUGUGCGUGUGACAGGUGCUGACAAGGCUAGAAUAGUAGGUGCCUCUUCGAUUUCUGAGAUCGGCCCUCGUGGUCUCUGAGCAGCCCAGCUUUUGAGAAAGCGAACGCCUCUUCGAUUGAUUCGGAGAACGAUGCCUUAUCGAUUUUUGAGAAAGCAAUCAUGCUGGGGGUCUGGCUCUCAAAGAUUCGGGGAGCAGUGUCUCUUCGAUUUUUGAGAAAGUAAUCAUGUUGGGAGUCUGGCUCUCGAGAUUCGGAGGGGCGGUGCCUCUUCGAUUUUGGAGCAAGCAAUCUUGUUGGGAGUGUUUUUCUCGAAUGUGAGUAAAGGUUGGGCAUGUUUGCUAGUCUACCUUGCCACGAAGCACACAGAGGUUGACACACAGGGACUUUCCAAUUAUCCAGCAAUGGUACUGUUCCUUUAUCCUCUCUUCGAUUUUUUAAGAAAGUAGUCAUGUUGGGAGUCUGGCUCUCGAGAUUCGGAGGACGGUGCCUCUUCGAUUUUGGAGCAAGCAAUCUUAUUGGGAGUGUUUUCUCGAAUGUGAGUAAAGGUUAGGCAUGUUUGCUAGUCUACCUUGCCACGAAGCACAGAGGUUGACACACAGGGACUUUCCAAUUAUCCAGCAGUGGUACUGUUCCUUUUACCCUUGUGGGUAAUAAUAUGGUAGCUAGACCUUCAAAAUUUAUGGGUCUAAACUUUGUUAGUGCUGUUUCUUUGCUAUUCUUUUACCCUUCUUGGUCAGAGCGAUGUAGUGGGAGCUGCAAGCUUCACGUGCUCAACUUUGGCAGAGAACUUUGGCAAAGUUAUCUGUGGUACCCAUGAGCUAUUGUUGCGUGUGGGAAGUGGGUGAUUGAACAGUAAGAUUCAUGUGUGUUCUACUUCCCCAGAAGUCUUCGACAGAAUGCCCAUAAUUUCCGCAAAGCUGAGUGUGCGUGUGACAGGUGCUGACAAGGCUGGAAAAGUAGGUGCCUCUUCGAUUUCUGAGAUCGGCCCUCGUGGUCUCUGAGGAGCCCAGCUUUUGAGAAAGCGAGCGCCUCUUCGAUUUCUGAGAUCGGCCUUCGUGGUCUUUGAGCAGCCCAACUUUUGAGAAAGCAAACGCCUCUUCGAUUUCUGAGAUCAACCCUCGUGAUCUUUAAGCAGCUCAGCUUUUGAGAAAGCAAACGCCUCUUCGAUUUCUGAGCAGGCGCCUCUUCGAUUUCUGAAGCUCCGUCGAGUGCAGAUUUUUAUAGGGGCUGGCAUUAAGUUCCAAAGCACACUUGAAUCUCCACCAGUAGAAGCUUCAUUCUUGCACUUCUAAGAUCUUGAUUUGUCCGACCUCUUCUCUCUUCAACACCUUUGAAAAUGUCUGGCCCCUCCGACCGUCGUUUUGACUUGAACCUUGUUGAAGAGGCAGCCCCGCCUUCUCCAGACAACAUAUGGCGCCCAUCCUUCGUCUCCCCUACUGGUCCUCCUCUUACCGUUGGGGAUUCCGUGAUGAAGAAUGAUAUGACCGCUGCGGUGGUGGCCAGGAACCUUCUCACUCCCAAAGAUAACAGACUACUUUCCAAACGGUCUGAUGAGUUAGCUGUUAAGGAUUCGCUGGCUCUCAGUGUUCAGUGUGCAGGUUCUGUGUCUAAUAUGGCCCAACGCCUAUUUGCUCGAACCCGCCAAGUUGAAUCAUUGGCGGCUGAAGUGAUGAGUCUCAAACAGGAGAUUAGAGGGCUCAAGCAUGAGAAUAAACAGUUGCACCGGCUUGCACAUGACUAUGCUACAAACAUGAAGAGGAAGCUUGACCAGAUGAAGGAAACUGAUGGUCAGGUUUUACUUGAUCAUCAGAGAUUUGUGGGUUUGUUCCAAAGGCAUUUAUUGCCUUCGUCUUCUGGGGCUGUACCGCGUAAUGAAGCUCCGAAUGAUCAACCUCUGAUGCCUUCUCCUUCUAGGGUUCUGUCCAGUACUGAGGCUCCAAAUGAUCCCCCUCCGGUGCCUUCUCUUUCUGGGGCUCUACCGACUGCUGAGACUUCUCCUAAGCAACCUUUGUGAAGGCUCCCUCUUGUGUGUUUAUUUUGACUCAUGUAUAUGUACAUAUUUGUAGCUUAUCGGGGAUAUCAAUAAAUAAGCUUUCCUUCAACAGUAUAGUAAAUCACAAAAUACUAAAGGGCAAGGAUAUAAAAGUAACAUCCUACAACAGUCAAAUAAUGGAUUUACUCUACCAAAGAGUAUUCUUUCUUCUAUGUUUAGAGUACUACAAAAAUAAUAUUAAAAAAAAAAAAAAGAGUAAAUCUUAGCAAUGAUUACUCCAAGGAAGCAUGGUAAUUAGGAGAAUACUACCCAGUUUUCUUUUGGUAAGCAUACAGAUUCCACUACAUUCCAUCCAUGGGUUAGGAACUUAGGUGUUGAAUAUGUGAAAAAGCGUAUAUUUAGGAAAAUAAAUUAAUAAAUAAAUAUGAUGAACACAAAUCGAAACACGUGAAUACCGAAGCUCAGAAGAGUUAUAUGUGGGAUAAUAUGGAAGCACCUGUGGAGCAAAAACGUAAGCCAAAGUCCCAAAGACAGCACCUCCUAACACAAAACCAGCGACGAAAUCAGCACCGCCGCCGCCGCCUCUACUGUCGUCACUGCAGUGCAGCAUAUACAAAGGAAUGGAAUAAAACGGAGAGCAAUUGAGAAAUUGGAAUUGGUAUAGAAAUGGAAUAUUACCUGUACUCGGCACGAACGGCGAAAUUGCGAUUGGUUCGCAGGUGAAAAUGUUUCCUUUGGGUUUGGGCCUUGGCAGAGGACCACAAAACCUCACGCGCCUUCAGCUGGCAUCCGCUGCCUGUACCCAUUAGACAUCACUAGAGCAUCAGACUAAACAACACAGAGAGUCACAGACGAUAUUGCAAUUUACAGAUACAUAAUACAUUGCCACUGUUGUUUGUUGUAUAAAUUAAUUAACAAUAAGAAUCUGCUAUUCGAGAUUUCCGAUUGAGUCACAUACCUGCGAAUGAGGUGGAUAGAGGAGCAAAGCAGAUAGCCAUUAGAUUUUAGAGACCCACUCAGAAAUUACAGAGAGAGAAGCUGCAAGAAAUGGGUGUUGCAUGUUAAUCAUAGACCGCCCGUUUUGUAAUUAGGAUAAACACUCUUAGGGUAAUACACACUUGAAUCACUUUAUUUCCCUAAUUGCCCCAGUUGCUUUGACAAGGGAAUUUCAAUUUGCUUGUACAACGGAGGGCAAUACCGGAAGCAAGCAAAGUUUUUAAAGUUAUACAGCAAAGCUAAUCCCUAAACUUUGUUGCUUUGGUUCUUCCGCCCCCGUUCGCUCCACCCUCCACGACCUUGGACCAUCUCCUCGGACCCCGAUUCAGCUUAAUUGGAUUUAUUGUUUUUUUUUUUCUUUUUCUGUUUCUUUUUGGUAAUUGAAUUGACGGUAGUGAGUCAAGCUUGAGAUUUCGUGCCUUACAAGUGAAAGAGAAUAUUACUAUUGAUUUGAGACUUAUCAUUUAUAACUUAUUAACUAAAAAAAUAUUACUAGACUAUUGUACUAAUUGAUGAUUGUUGCAACAUGGCUUGAUAAUGCACUUAUGGUAAGCAUAUUUUUAAGGGAAUUUUAACGAAAAGUUCUCCGAUACUGUUCACUUUAACGAAAAGCCACAUUUUUACACUAAAAAAUCAAUCUUAGUACUAUUCACUUUACCCUUUCUUUUGAUCUUAUCGUUAAAACUCAAAGUUUUCAAGCCCUUUUCAUUAGUUUUCUUUAUUUUUAAACGUUUAGUUCCAUUUUCUGGAAGCAAACUAAUGGGAAAUAGUAAGGAGGAAAUAACUUUAGUUUGGGUAGUAAAAAGGAGUUUAAAUUCGUUUCGACAUUCCGAAGUACGGCCAAUUACUGCUGUCCUUGAGUUGUAAAGGCAUCCAUUGGAUUGGACGGUUGGACUGGAUUGGAUCGGCAAAAUACAUCGUAGUUCGCAGACGCAUCAGAGAUUCAAAAGAGGAAAGAAGAAGAAAACGUAGGAGUCAAAACUUGGAAGAUUCAGCAACACAUUGGUUUCAAAUUCCUAUUGGCUUCUUAAAACUAUGGUGGCUUAUUUCUCUUUAUAUACAAACAGCCGUAAUAGUAAUAGUAACAGUAAUACUAACGCACUCAAUUACCAAACAUCUAAAAACAGUAUUCAAAUACUAAGAAAAAGUACCAGCAAAUCCUAUAUUUGAGAAAGAUGAACGACGGCAACCAGGCAAGAUCAUCAACCACGAUUGCCACAUGCAUUUCAAACGCAACGUAAUGUACAUAACACAGCAAUUCAUCUUCACUUCAUUUGUCUGGCAAGCGCCCAAAGAGCAGCAGUGAUGUAUUCACAUGGUGUCUUUCAGGCACAAGCUGCUCCGGUUUUGAAACAGGUUUCCCAGGUUGUUCCUUGUCUGGGAAUGGGAAUGAAAGGGAAAGGGAAAGUGACGCAGACACAUCAUCAUCUUUCUCAUCCACCACCGCUGCUUCUAAAGGCUUAUCUUGGUUGUUACCUUUCUCGUCUGCUAACCCGACAAAGAAGGGCAGCAUUCCCUUAUUUUGUGGUUUUGUUUCUCCCCCUAGAGCCAGCUCGAGACUUGGGAACCCUUCGCGAGUCUUAUCCACAUACCCUGAUGAGAAAUCUUUCCAUGGCACCGAGUUGCCAACUGGCCCAAAAUGCUGAAAAUGCCGUGAAUCCAAAGGAAAGAAGUACCUUUCAGUAUUUCCCAAGUCCUCUGGAAUAACUUUCUCCUCACAGGCUUCAAAGCAUCUCUUGUCCUCAACCACAGCGUCUGUACCUCUAGGAGUGUUACAGCCAUCAAAUCCACUUGAACCGAUUUUUGGCUUCUUCCUAUCAAUCUCGACAUCCAUCCGUGUGAUAUUCACCUCAUUCCAUGGCAUUUCUUGAGUUGUGGCUGCAGAAGUUGUUCUCUCUGAAAUAGGUAUGUCUGGGUGUUUUCUAUCACUGGGCUGACAAGAGUUGACUCUGGCUGUCAAGUCUCUCACCAAGGCUGCUUCUGAUUCCUUAUAUCCAUAAUCUCUCCUCAAUUCCCUCUCUUGUUUAAAAUCAGCUUUAUCCAUCCUCACUCCAUCCAGAAUCACCUCCUCAACCCCUCCUGCGAUACCAACCCUUUUCUUUCCAUCUGGAAAUCUCUCAUCCCCAACACUCCUAGAAACGGCUAACUCUCGACUGGAAACAGGACGAAUCUCCAGAGAAUCAGUAUCUUCCCUAUCAACAGAAGUGACCCAAUGCACUUGCCUCUUCUCACCUUUGUUAGAGCUAUUUGACCCAGUUGUUGGAAUAGAAGACUUAAUUUCUUUACCAACUCUGCUCUCUCGAAGACAACUUUCCUGCUGCAGAAUGUGAGACAAUAACCCUUUAGUAAAUAUAUAUAUAUAUAUGCAAAUCUCAAUGACCCAAAAAUAUAUACACAUCACAGUACCAACUUUUAAGAAACAAAUUUUGACUAGGUAUGUAAAUUGAACCAUGAAACCAGGGCCAAGCUUAAAAUACCAAACCUUCCCAAUAAAUUGUCCCUCUAUAACACAGCUAAUUAGUGGAGUAGAGUACAUCAUAGGACAUAUCACUCAGCGAGUCAACACAUAGCACGGCUGCACGGGCAUCAAUAAACAUUCCUAGACCAAUGGAUGAUCAUUGUGGAGUCAAGUUCUGUGACAUCAGUAAUGCCAUCUAUACUUCUACACCAAAGUGCAUGGACUAAGCAAAUAAGGAUCUUGACUAAAGAAAUAAUGUCAUUUAAGUCUUGACCAUUGGAUAGAAUAAAUGCAGAACAUCAUAAUCUAAAAACAUCUCAAAAAGUAUAGCAACACCGGUCAAAAUUGUUCAUCUUCACAUUUUUAAGAGUGAAAGGAAACAAGUGCUGCAACCAUAUAUGAUUGAUAACAUCAAUGAAGUCUAGCACAGAUGUUAGAAAGAUACAACCAUGCUGCAAAGAAAAACACUGAAAGAAUUUAAUCUCUCAGCAUGCGAGAGAGAGAAAGAGGCCAGCCAAGCCACAAUAUGGUUUCACACCCCGAAUGAGGGACUGAAAUACAAAAAUCAAGGACUACAACCACCAUGAUGCACCUUAUACAUUCUGGAAAAAAAGAAAAAGAAAAAGAAAGUUACCAGGCAAGGAGUACCGUAUUCAACUCCUUCAGACAAGCCAGCAUUGUUUGUUGUGUUGGAAUCAACCCUACAAUCCUGUACUGCCGAGUUCACUUUUGAACCUAAACGCACUUCUUCAGGGUAAGUAUCUUUGUUCUCACAAUCCUUGCUAACUGUGGGGCCCAUAUGCAGAGAGGCAUUGGAAGCAGAAGGAACAUCACAAGAUCUGUCAGAAGGAGAAGAUUCAUCUAUAUGCUUAGGUAUACAUAUGUUCUCGGACAAUGUCAUGCCAUCAGUAGGAGCUUUCUGAAAUGAGUUGCUCAAGCUAGGAACACAUGUCUUGGUAAAAUCUAAACAAUGCACCCUCAUUGUCCUGAACACACCCCAAAGGAAAAAUAGCAUAUUCCAACCUGCCAAUGACAGAAAACAGAUUUCAGCAGACAGUUUGACUCUAGGUCAGCAAGAACAAUGCUAUUGCCACAAACAGUUGACAAUAAAGAGCAACUUCUGCACCAAUAACCAAAAAUGAGGUCAAGCUGAAAGCACUCGAGGACACGACCAAAAAGGCAAGAACAUCAGCAAGACGAGAGAAGCAGCCAAUUAUUUAAAAGAAGACACCAUCAUACAGAUUACAGAACAUGAAGAUUAUCCAUAUUUCUAUAUAUGCUCCAUAAUUACAGGUUCGCAAUAUCAGCAUCAGAACUUAUUUAUGCAUUAAGCAGUUUAAGCCACAACUUGCACACAGCAGAACCGCAUCAAACGUAUUAUCACUGGGUAGAACACCUAACCCAAUGUAAUGAAACUUCAGAAUUCCUUACGUUGUGAUUUCUCAGGAAGCUGAUUGGAUGGGAAUAUCAGAAGUUCAACACCAUCAAAAUUCCCUUUGAGGGCUAGAUCAUUCUUGACCAUAGCAUCCAACAGGCUGUUGUAGUGUCUUUCGUAACUGCAUCGAAAAUUGAAACGACUGCAUAAUAGGAAAUAAAGAAAAAAAAUGUUGUGGAAAUAACAAGACUUUGAAAAUAUUAAAUGAAAAGAGUGUAUGUUUAUCACUAAUUCACUACCUAUCAAGAUCUUUGGCAAAGAAAUAAAGUGCAAUAUUAUCUUCUUUAGCGCCACUUUGAUGGAACUGUGAUGGCCAUACACUCAGGCGAGGAACUUCAUUCAGAGAAACUUUGUGCGGAAAUUUGUUUACCACUUCAGGGACCUUUGGUGAUGCACAAGUCGACAAGUGAGCUUGAACUCCACCACAUAAAUCCAUAAAAUUUCCACCUCUCUGCACUUCAAAACUCCCCCUGCAUGAAAAUAAGAUAAGCCUAUCUUAUAAGACAUUGUCAAUGGAACAAAAGAAGAGGAAAAAAGAGAAAACUAACACCAGAAAGAAAAGGAAAGAAAAUGUAGAAUAUGAAGCAGACAAGAUUUGAUAACUAAUAAAAACCCAGAGAACCAUACUGCCAAAUGUAUUCAUAUUCUGGAAUGGCUGUUGUCUUCACAAGAACAGACAUCGCCCCUGAAGCAUGAUUAUGCAAAUCCUUCACUGUAGGCUUGCCAGGAACAACAGAAACAGAGUAUGCCACUUUGGAAGGGAACCCAGAAUCAAUGGGCUGCACUGUAAGCUGCUUUAAAUUAUUGACAGUUGCAUUCUUGUAAGAGUCAGAAGUAGAAGUCCCAAGGAUUGCAUGUCCGUCAGGUGAUUGCUCUUGAGCAGCUACUUCAUAACUUGAGUCCAUGUUCGGCGUUGAAGACUCGUCAGACUGAUCGAAUACUCUUUUCUUUCUGUAUAUUUCAGACUUUCUAACCAAAGCUGCAUGAAUAGCAUCUUUCAACCUAUUACCUCUCUGCAUCUCCUCCCUAGAACCUCUCGGAGCAGAAGCACCAGUACCAGAAGCUUGUGAAAUUACAGGUCUACCAAAUUCCGCGUUAAUUCCUAACUCUUUACAUUUUGGACUAGCUACAACAGCAGGCGCACAGCGAACAGAGCUCUCCCUGGCUUUAUCAUCCUGAUCUAUCAUUUCCCCUGAUUGUGGUAACACAUCUUCUGAUGUUCCAUCUACAUUACAGUGUGAUUUCUCAACAGUCACCGAGCUGGAUAAGGAUUCAUCCUUAAAGCUAACAUGGUAUAACUUUUGUUCAGAAGCAGAACUAGACAUUCCAUUCAUAGAUGAACCUCCACCUGCAAUGGAAAACACACGGUGAUACUUUAGGUUAUUAACACUAUCUAGUCCAAGAUACAUAACCAUCAAACAAACUAUACAAAGAAACAUAAAAGUAAGGCACAGACUCGAGCUUGAAGAACACACAAGUACAGAACUAGCCCAAUUUCACAAUCAAGAAGGAAAAGAUUUACCUGAAGUAAUUUGAGUGUCAAAACCUUUACGAGUUACACUAGAUUUUGAUGUACUUAAUUUUCCAUCAGGUAGUGCAACCUUUGGCUCUCUAUUGCUCACAGAUGAAAGCAAACUAGUUUCACCACGAGAUGCUAGGUCACUCUUAGGAAUUGAGACAGUAGAAUUAGCUGUUGUAAAAUUAGCCAUGGGACGGUCUAGUUUGGACAAAAUUUUUCUUUCAACGACACUCCGCUCUUUUGCCUGUUUCAAUGCUUUAAGAUCUGGAACAUGGCUAAACUUUGAUGAGAGCAUUUUAACUUUUGAUUCAGAAACAUUCGAACGCCCUGAGCUAGCAGAUUUGAAAGACACAGACUUGCCCAUAAUUCUGGGCACCACCCUCUCCUUCAUAUCAAGGGAAGCAUGUUCUUUAAAACCCUUUUGCUUUUGAGGAACAACUUCAUCUACAUGUUUAACUUUUGGUUUAGAAUUUAACGUGUUGAACGAAUUUGACUUUGAAAAUGUACCUGCAGGCAGAAAUACGAUGAACUGUUGUUCUUUCUUAAUAUAGAACUCUAAAAAAUGUAAAAUGAGAAACAACAACCCCACCUAGACAUCAGAAAGCAAAAGAGUUGCUAUAGAUAAAAAGAGGGGUAGAGAGGGAGCAUGAAACAUGUAUCCUGCAGCAAUUACUACUCACCCUUGGCCCCUAUGCCAUUUGAAGGAGAACGUGCAGUUUCUGAUAUAUUAUUAGUACCCUGAGAAGUCUGAUAAGCUGGCCUCAACCUAUCCUUAUCUAUGCUUUUGAAUGAAGACUCGCGUGAUAGAGCACCCAUUCUCUUAGGGCUAGAUGGCUUUGGUGAUCCCACCCGCAUUUCAAGACCCUGCCUUUUCGCAGAAGGAGCCACUUCUAUGUUUUCUGCAAGUCUCUUAUUAGAGAAUUGUGUACUCAUAAUCGCUUUCUCCAUUCUUUUCACCUCGAUAUCUGAACCUUUAGAAUUCAAAUACAGAAAAAGAUUAUGCAUGUCACAGCUAAGUAACAGCACAUUAGCAUGUGUUAACUAAUAUAAUUCAAUCUGCUUUACCUUGCUUCUGGUUGUCAGUUUCCUCGGUAAACUUGCAUUCCUCACACAGCCAUGGACCUUUAGGAACUCUCCGAAGCAUUUUUCGCAUACAAUAGCUGCUUUCAGCAAUAAUAAUGUUAAGAAAUUUUGAUCAAAAGCAUGAGAACAUAAAAUAUCACAAGAAAAAUCCUGACAGAAAAAAUAGGAUGAAAGACUAUUACAUGUGUUCUGCACCAUCGAUGCACCUACUACACAUGGCAAGCAUAUCCUCUCGACCUGCAUCCCCACAAAUAUCACAUACUUUUACCUGUUUAUGACCCCAAAAGAAAAGGCAACAGUUUUUAGUUUUUCAGCUCAUAAGUGAAGAAGCCAAUACAGGAAAUGAGAAGCUAUAAAGCAUGUCACCCACAGAUAAAAAUAUAAAAAAAAGAUAAAAUUGAAGCAUUCAUAAAGUCUCCAAGAGGAGCCAAUAACAAAAAUGGAUAGACAACCCUUCCUUGUCUUUAACAUGAUGCAACUAUCCAAAGUCUACUAUCUCUGACUUAAAGCAUAAGAUAAUUAAACCUCAAUAUAGAUGAAUACAUCACGCAUACCCCUCCUAAUGAGCACUGAUCUGCUGGGAUAACAUCCUUCAAAUUAAAAUGUGAUGUUCUAGCAUGAAAAUAGCAAACAUUUACAAAUUUUUAACAAAUAAAGGGGGAUGUUUUCUUAAUGACACUGAAAAAGCUGCAAAUACUUGUUUUCUCUUUAUUAUCUUGAAAUAUGCUAAUCAACAUUAGGUUUGAUCAAACAAUUAAGUUACAACGACAACAUAAAUCAAGAAGCUUAUUUACAAAUCUUCAGACUAUUGGCAAGAAAAUAUCAUUUUAUAUGAAACCUUAUAGGGAGACACGUGAAGCCAGAAAAAAUAUUGAGGGGGAAGAGACACAAAGAAUAAACAAGAAAUUGUGCAAACAAGUCAUACAUACAAAUUUUAUGAGGUAUGGGAGGGAACUCACAUCAUGCUCCACAAUGUCUGAUUCAUCACUGUCAUCCCCAGAUGCAGAUUGCAAGGGCUGCAUGUCAGCUACUUCGACCAACUCAUUCGACAUAACAUCUUUCUCACCAUGAUCCAAACAUUUUGACGCUUCAUCUUUUGGGUCUUGUCCAUUACUCUCUACUUCUAUCUUUGGACACAAUUUUGUAGGGACCCCUAAACUUUUACAAGAAACGAAUUUCUGGCCAGCAAAAAUAUCUGACUCAUUCUUAAAUGAUGAAUCAGCAUGUCCAAAAAAUUCUGGCAGUUUUCCCUGCAUAUGAUAAGAGAUGCAUCCUCUCCUAAAUCAGUACAAAAUUGCAUAAAAGGAAAGAGAUGACCAAUUCGUGAGUAAAAGCAAGAGUUUGCACCUUUUUUGUGCCAUCACCAGAAUCUGCAGGUUUUACCAUCUCUGACAAGGUUGACUUAUGUGCCUUUCCAGAUUCUUCUGUCCCUAUACUACCAGCUGAAGCUAAACUACAAGACAAAUUCUUCCAUUCUACAUUCCUGUUAUGGUUAUUGACUGCCAGAUUUGCAUCAUUGGCUCUGCUUAUACAUGAAAUGUUAUCAUCAUGGACUUCAACAGCAUUUUCGGAUGUAUCAGAAGACCUCAUGGUUGCUUUGCUUUCAGCAUUUUCAGACAAAGAAUCGUGACUUGAAUUAACGCUAAGCAGGUUACUUGUCUCGCUGGUGGUAUGUUGUAAACUGUCACAUGCUUUUCUCUUAAAAGAAGAUGAAGUAUCUCCCACACUGAUAGAAUAUUGACUAGCCGCAUUAACACGACAGGUUUCAUCAGAAAAUUCAUCAGCCUUUGACCCCAUAAAAGAUCUAUUAGGAUGCAUACAAGAUGAACAGGGAGCAGAGCACACGUUGCAAGCCCCAGACUCGCCACUAAUAUGAACCUUCCCACCUCUGGAAUGCUUACCAAACUCUUUUAAAAAUUUAGAUGACACCUAAUAAAUACAAAGAAAUAAAUUAGUAGUGGAAGCAAUACUUAAAUUAACAAUGGAGGAUUAAAAAGUUAUAGGAAAAUCCUGACUUUGCAGCAUUGACCGUAUCAGAGCAUGGGCAACGUAAAAAUCAAAUAAAUGAGAAAAAUCCCACACUCAAUGUCACUCUCAGCUUAAGGGAGUAAGUAAAAAAAAAAACAUAUGCAGGAAGCUGCAUGUGAGAAUCCCUUCAACUGGACAGUAAUAUUCCCACAAAUGAAAAUUACUAAACUUGGAAUUUGGAACAAGGAGAGAUCUUUUAAAUUGAUAUACAACCAUUCCCUUGUUUGGAUUUAUAAUAAACAAAGAGAUGUAUAAUUUGAAGUUCAUAAUUUUCCAUCUAAAAAGUUAUAAUUUCUAAAAUUCCAAAAGAGUGAGUAUUUUAAGAAAAACAACAACUAUGUACGCCGCCAUAACCACGACCUCCACUACCUGGUCAUCACCACCAUCACUUCCACCCUGAACACAUCUACCAAACACUACCCCACAUUUACAAAUUGGUGGCUAUAAAAGAACAAAACAUAAACUUCCAUCUUUAAAUCCCAUUACACUUUAGGUUAACCAAACAAAAAAUUUGACAAAUUCUAGAACAGUGAGGGCUGGUUUGGUAUUGUUGUGCUUUGAAAAAAAGUUGCGGUGAGAAUAAGCGGCUGUGCUGUGAAUCAGCAGAGUGUUUGGUAAACUUUUUUGUAAAAGUGCUUUUGGAAAAAAAAGCAGUCUGAUAGUGGGUAUUUUCAUUAAAGGAGCACUGUAGCUCCGUGUGCUUUGAAAAAAAGCCAGUUUUCCAAGGCUGCAAAUAGCAGCUUCAGCUUUUUCCUUUGAUUUCAGCUUAUUCUCACAGCAGCUUCCAAAAUAAGCCAUUUUUUUCCAGUUUACCAAACACCUAAAACCCUUACAACUUUUUUUUAUGGGUGCUUUUUUUUUAAGCACCUCACUCCCAAACCACCCCUGAAUUCCAUCAUUUUAAGUUGUAUCAUUUUGGAAUUCCUCAUUCUCUCCAAUUUCCUUGUUCAAACUUAUGGUUAGAUUAAUGUAUGAGGGAAAUUCCUCCAUUGUUCCUAAAAUCUGAAUUCAAUCAUCCAUUACAACAAACUCCUAAUGAGCGGGUAAUGGCUAGUGAAAUUAUCAAAACCCUAAUGGAUGGUCAACGAAAAACCUGAAGUUUAAUUGCCUGCUUUCUUUGAAAUAAGGGCUACUGCAUGAUAUAGGAAAAGAAACAGAAAAUAAACAAAGAAGAAAAAGGCAAAUUACCGAGAGUCAUCUCACCAUAGUCCUCUGAAUAUCAUGAUCAACAGGCCGGCCCUUGCAUGCGAUCACUCCCUCUCCAAACUCCAAACUGCUGCGAUACAACCAGAAUUACAUUAAGCCCAAUCUCCGGUACCCAAUAACAGAGUGCGGACUCCAAUUACUGCAUGAAAAGUGAAAAGUAAAUCAAUUUAGAGAAAGGCUAAUGCAGCAGUGAAGAUGCAAACCAAACGCAAAUUAAAUUAUUAAAGAAAAGAGUUUUCUAUCAGGACCCAAAAACCCUAAACCAUGAAAUAAAAAAUUCCCAAUGCAAAGCCAUUGCCCAUUGCCAAUCAAUCCAAUCAUCAAUUCAGCGAGUAAUCCGAUCAUACAAAACAAAAUCAAGUAAUCAAAUCAAGAGACGAGAAGAAAAGCAUGUCGGUUGAAAAUUACGCGCCUUUGAUUUAAUCCCUUCCUUCCUCCCUUCGUUGGUUCGCCGAGGCAAUCGUCCGUCCCAAGCCCCAACCCUAAUCUAAUCUAAUCGAAACCCAAACAAACACUUGGUAGUCCAAUGUCCUGCGAUGCUCCUGCACGUUUCGAUUCGAUUCGAUUCAAUUGAAGCCCUAACUUUCCAGCAAAUGGCAUUCAAAUCAACUCUCAGACCAGAACCAAAAUGACCAUCUACUCUAACCACACACAAUCUCAUUUAUUUAUGUAUAUAAUAUAUAAUGUCAUUGUAAAAAUACUUAUAUACAUAUAUACCUCAUAUAUAUUUUCUUGUUUCGUCUCUCUAUUCCUUGUGAGCUUGGGGAAUUUCAACUUCAUCCUCUCCCUCUGUGGAGAUUUAUUCUCUAUAGAAAAUGAGUGAAUGAGAACUUUUGUAGAUUUGGAAUUUAAAUGCUGGUCUCCCGUAUUUUAAAUUAUUAAAGGGGCCUUGUCUAUUUUUUUUAUCAUUUUGACCUUUAACAAUUUAACAUCACGGUUUUUUUUCUCUUACUGUUACAAAAAUAAAAUUUAUGAAGUCUAGCAGAAAAAUCGUUAGGAUUUUAAUAAAGUAGAAAUACCAUGGUAAAACUAAACUAAGAAAACUACGACAAUUUCAAAAGGAAAACAAAAAAGUGAUAGUAACAUCAAAUAUUAAAUAAAUAAAAUUAGGUAAAAUUUACCCCUAAACAAAAAAAUAUUAUCCUUACCAACUUGAUUAGCAAUUUCAUACUUCUCACAUUCGGCCCAAAGGUUUGUUUGAUAUUUGCUUUUAAUAGAGCCAAAACAAUUUACGAGAACCAAAAGCCUUUUGACUAUAAUUAUUAAAAAGAUGUAAUAAUAAUCAUGGCACGUAAAAACGCUUCAUAGAGAAGCACAUGCUAAACGACUCUUCUUAAAAGCACUAUCUUGUAGUAAUGUGUAGUAUGAAGGCAUUAUUUUGGAUCAUAUACCAAGGACCAAACCAAACUUUAAUACUGACGAAAAUUCUAUUAAAUAAAAACGAUUUAUAGAGAAUCACUUUCUUUUAAGAAGCACUCUAAGUGCUUUUUGCUUUUAAGGUUUUUUUUUUAAAUAAUAAUUUCAACAUGUGUUUACUUAAAGCACUUCUUGAGCAAUCUUAACGGCCCUAAUUCUCAUGAAGGUUGAUCCCAAAACACUAUUGUUGGUACACAUUCAAGCGCAAAAAAAUAUGAUCCCAAAACAUAAAUAUUUGUAAGUUUUUAUCAUUAAUGUAAAUCAAACUUUUGACUUCUUACUUAUCAGCAUGAAUGAAACGCCUAAAUAACAAAGGUAGGGAUGGAGGGAAUAGUUGCUUUCAUUUUUUUUUUAACAAUGAUAGCAUUAAUAGGUUAAAUAGUUAGUUGUUAAGGGAAGAGGGAAGGAGAAAUAUUUGUGAGGGUCAAAUUCGUACCAUGAUGCAUAAACAUAAUUACUUUCCGCAUUGCAAUAAAAAAGUCAAUCUACGCAUAUUUCUUCCUUUGGCUAUAUUACACAGGAAGCGUGAGCCUCACGAAUCACAAUCAACCUGAAAGGGAUUUGCGGGCACACCUAGGAAUAAUUUAAUUUGCAUUUAGUCCAUCCCCGUCACAGUGCACUUUUAUUAAUGAGAUAUUUAGUACUAGUACCCUUCUUGCUUUGAAAUAUUCUAAAGCAAAAUAUAUAUAUAUAUAUAUAUAUAUAUGUGUGUAUGGGACUAAAUCCAAAGUGUAGGAAGAAUUCGAGCGUUAAGAGGAAAAAGUAGAGAAUCUGUACGUGGCAAUGAUGGCAUUAUGGCAAAAAGCAUACGACAAACAAACUAAUAAGGAUGGAGGAGCAACUCUUAUGGUUGCCAGAUUCAACAGCACCUCCUUCAUCCUUUCCUUUCCCCUUCCCAUUCUCAGCAUACAAUACCAGGCAGCCCUUCGGCCCGGUCUGUUUAAAACCAUCCCCGCCAUCAACAUGACAACCGACUGUUGUUGGAUGCAAUCCAUUCGGAUUCCUCAUCCUUUGGUCGAUCAUGUCAGAAAAAUUAGCUCCAACAUACCAUUUAGCACCUGCAAGGCAAAGGGCAAUUUUUUCCAUGUAAGACGUAGAGAAUACAAGAAAGCCUAUCAUAUAAUCAGAAAACUUAAUAAAUUCAAUAUAAAAUUAUACUUGUCCAUAUUUGAGAAUCAAUAUCCAAAACAUCUUGCAUAUGCUUAAGCAAUUGGCAUGCUACAACAAAAGAUACCUAGGUUACAAAUUACUUCAUAGAAUAAUUAGACUGAGUGGAUAUCAGAUAACUAAAUGAAUUAUAUUUGAAAUGAAUUUGAAGUAACUAUUAUGUAAUCAGUCAUUUAAAAUCCAUAGUUUUCUUCUUUUCUCAUUAAAAUCCUGGCAUAUAAGCUCGCAAUAGUCUAAACAAACAAUUUAACCUUUACAUUUGAUCCAAUUCUUAUUCUUUUUUAAAUUCAAAAGGUAAAUUUGUUACAUACUUGCCAUUAAUCAAUCGGGUGUUUGUCAGCUUUCCGAGAAGUAAAAUGUACAGAAAGCAAAAGCAAAGAAAAGAAAGCACUGGCCACAAAGAUUGCAUCAAACCAUCGGUGAUAGAAGUCAAACUGAAUAUCUCCACCCAAUACAUCUGUUAUGAUCAACCUGCCAAGAGAUAAUGGCUCACUCUUUACUACUCAUUCAUCAGCUCAGAAGCUACCUAAAUGACGGACUGAAUGCGAUCAAGCUUAUAUGACACAAGACCAAAAAACUUCUGAAGGCCAUCAUUUGGAAAAUCUGCACUUUUAGACAGGACAUGAUUAAAGCCACAGUCUGCAGUUUACAAGCUUCAACGUUUUCAUUUUAAAUGCAAAUAUGGUAAUACACUUUUACAAUGACUAGGAUUGUAAACCUUUUUUCAAGUAAAUAUGAUUGUUAUUAACCUUUUAAACAAUUUCACUUAGUCAUGAAGUAAUAAUAUCUUUUAUAUAGCAUGGUAUUAUAAUAGCAUCUUCGCGCCAAUACUACUGUCAUUAUAUAUGGGUUCAUCUUGCAAGCCAAAGUAUUUUGGCCGGUUACUCUGUACUUAACCCCUUUCAUACUUCUAUAUGUAGUAUAGAUAGAAGAAUAGAAGAAAAUGUUUUUGUUUCACUGAGAACAUAGUCAACUUCUAAUUUCAAGUAAUUAUAUAUAAAUUUCAUUUCAAAGUAGGAAUUUUAGGUGCACUGUCUACACUAGAGUAAAAUAAACUUGCACUUAAGCUCAAUACAACUGACCGAAGACAGAAGAACAAAACCAAAAGUCGACAAACAUAACCAUGCCAUUGAACAUCAAGGGAAGACAGAAGAACAAAACCAAAAGUUGACAAACAUAAAAUAUCAGCAUACCUGUACUCAGUCGCCAAGCUUUUCCUUAUCAAUAGAAUAGAGGACACAAAGUACAUUCCCAUAAUUUCAGAGAGAAACAAUACAACAUUGCUAGAAGAUCUACUUCCAACUCUGGAAACUGCAAAAAAGAACUGUGCACAGCAGAAAGAAAGUUAAACCGUAAAAAUGAUGUUUUAUGUUUCCAUCAGUUGCUCUUCAACAACCACAGACCACUAUGGACUAAGGCCUAUUCCCAGAAAAUGAUUAAAAUGGGACUAAGGCCUAUUCCCAGAAAGUGAUUAAUAGGGGACUAAGGCCUGGGUCAGCUCAAUUCAUUUAUUUUCUUGAUAUAAUUGUGGCACUAGCAUGUACAACCUAAGACCAAUGUGGGACAUCUGGUUCUUAUCUCCGGAUCCAGAAAAACUGUCUUUCAAGUUUCAACUUUCAGCUCCUGAGUUCCUUAAUACAGUGGCCUACCCCUUUUGUAUGCAACUCGGUCAAGAAAAAAAAGAAGCAAGCAUUCAGAACUCAUUUCUUUUCCCUCUAGAAACUGCAGACUGCAUUUUGAAAGUCAGUCUCAAGAAAUCCAAUCAGCGGAUUGUGGUUCUCCAACUUAAAUAAGAAUAAAUAGUAAGGCAGGCAUAAGAAGGAUUACCUUCAUUAAAUUUGUCAAGAAUCCACGAACUGAUGUAACAAUCAACAUUCCAAUGAACAACAACAACAACAACAACAAAGCCUUUUCCCACUAAGUGGGGUCGGCUAUAUGAAUCCUAGAACGCCAUUGCGCUCGGUUUUGUGUCAUGUCCUCCGUUAGAUCCAAGUACUCUAAGUCUUUUCUUAGAGUCUCUUCCAAAGUUUUCCUAGGUCUUCCUCUACCCCUUCGGCCCUGAACCUCUGUCCCGUAGUCACAUCUUCGAACCGGAGCGUCAGUCGGCCUUCUUUGCCCAUGUCCAAAUCACCGAAACCGAUUUUCUCUCAUCUUUCCUUCAAUUUCGGCUACUCCUACUUUACCUCGGAUAUCCUCAUGCCCAAUCUUAUCCUUUCUCGUGUGCCCACACAUCCCACGAAGCAUCCUCAUCUCCGCUACACCCAUUUUGUGUACGUGUUGAUGCUUCACCGUCCAACAUUCUGUGCCAUAUACAACAUCAUUGGCCUUAUUGUCGUCCUAUGAAAUUUUCCCUUGAGCUUCAGUGGCCUACGACGGUCACAUAAACACGCCGGAUGCACUCUUACACUUCAUCCAUCCAGCUCGUAUUCUAUGGUUGAGAUCUCCAUCUAAUUCUCCGUUCUCUUGCAAGAUAGAUCCUAGGCAGCAAAAACGGUCGCUUUUUGUGAUCUUCGCUAGAUUGCUCCGGUCAUUAGUGUGGAUAAGUAUAUAAAUGAAUAGAGAUAGGAAAGCAAACACAAGAUGUACGUGAUUCACCCAGAUUGGCUACGUCCACGGAAUAGAAGAGUUCUCAUUAAUUGUGAAGAGUUUACACAAAUACAUAGGUUCAAGCUCUCCUUUAGUGAGUACAAGUGAAUGAUUUAGUACAAAUGACAUUAGGAAAUAUUGUGAGAGAAUGAUCUCGUAAUCACGAAACUUCUAAGUAUCGGAGUGUGGUAUCGUCUUGACUUGCCUUAUCUGUCUCAUAGGUAGAUGUGGCAUCUUCUCUGGAAGUACUCUUCCUCCAUCCAGGGGUGGUAUCUUUAAUUGGUGGAGAUGCACAAGGUAAUGUAUCAAUUUCACUUGAAGCUUACUUGUAGUUUCAGGCUUGGUCAAGCGCGAUACAAACCAUGUAGUAGGAGUCCCCUAAGUCGCCGAGCUAGGGGAUCUGCUGAAAGAGGUGACAGACAAGGUAAGCAAUCAGAGCUCCGGCUGAUUGUUCACCUUCUCCCCAUCUUGCAGCAGCAUGAAGGAUAAAGAGAAGAAAAAAUGAGAAGAGAUGAUAUGGGAUACUUUUGCUUUUGAAGAAGUAACUUUCCACAGGCUUAUUCUUGAACUGAGCUGGAGGGUUUUCUGGUUUCCUCCAGAGCCGACUGAAGAAUUUGAGGGUCAAAACAAGUCCAUCAAAUCUAGAGUACGUUCGACCCUGCUGAUAUGGGAUACUUUUGCUUUUGACAGAGUAAUGGAUGUAUCGGCACGUGUGCUGUUACGCUUGUCUCCACAUGCUUCCUUGUAUCCUUCGCACUUGCCCUAUCUGUUCCUCAAGCAGAUGCGGUAUCUUCCCUGGAAACAUAAGAUGUUGAAGAUGAGUACUCGAGAGCAAUGCCAGGUAAGUAAUCAGGUAAGGGGUUCCAGGCAGUCAGUUCCUGGCUGGAAGCUUGAUGCCAAGUGCUUACUGAUUGCUCUCUUUCUCCUUGUCUUGCAGGUAAAAACAAGGCCAAAGGAAAAGACAGGGAAAAAGCAUGAUAUGGGAUACUCUUGCUUUUAACCCUGAUGAUAUGAGAUAUUCUUGCUCUAGUAUAGCUUGUUUGCAGAGGUAUUAUCGGGGGGAAAGAAAGCUGAAUAUUUCGAAAGGCUUCGUGGGGAGUGCCCUCUCAGAUAUGAGGAAGGGUUGAGCAUUUUUGCAGGUCUGCCUGUCCGUUGGGGAUGAAGGUCGACAUAUAUAGGAGUCUCCCUAACAAGUAGUAAUGCUAUUCCUUUACCCUGCUUGGUCAUAGCACAGUAGUGGGAGCUGCCAGCUUCACAUGUUUUAACUCUGUCAGAGCACUUUUGAAAAAGUGGUCUGUGGUAUCUGGCUCUCGAGAAGUCUUCGACAGAAUGCCCAUAAUUUCCGCAAAGCUGAGUGUGCGUGUGACAGGUGCUGACAAGGCUAGAAAAGUAGGUGCCUCUUCGAUUUCUGAGAUCGGCCCUCGUGGUCUCUAAACAGCCCAGCUUUUGAGAAAGCGAGCGUCUCUUCGAUUGAUUCGGAGAACGAUGCAUCUUCGAUUUUUAAGAAAGCAAUCAUGCUGGGGGUCUGGCUCUCGAGAUUCGGGGAGCAGUGUCACUUCGAUUUUUGAGAAAGUAAUCAUGUUGGGAGUCUGGCUCUCGAGAUUCGGAGGGCGGUGCCUCUUCGAUUUUGGAGCAAGCAAUCUUGUUGGGAGUGUUUUCUCGAAUGUGUGAGUAAAAGGUUGGGCAUGUUUGCUAGUCUACCUUGCCACGAAGCACAGAGGUUGACACACAGAGAUUUUCCAAUUAUCCAGCAAUGGUACUGUUCCUUUACCCUCUCUUCGAUUUUUGAGAAAGUAGUCAUGUUGGGAGUCUAGCUCUCGAGAUUCGGAGGACGGUGCCUCUUCGAUUUUGGAGCAAGCAAUCUUAUUGGUAGUGUUUUUCUCGAGUGUGAGUAAAGGUUGGGCAUGUUUGCUAGUCUACCUUGCCACGAAGCACAGAGGUUGACACACAGGGACUUUCCAACUUUCCAAUUAUCCAGCAGUGGUACUGUUCCUUUACCCUUGUGGGUAAUAAUAUGGUAGCUAGACCUUCAAAAUUUAUGGGUCUAAACUUUGUUAGUGCUGUUUCUUUGCUAUUCUUUUACCUUUCUUGGUCAGAGCGAUAUAGUGGGAGCUACAAGCUUUACGUGCUCAAUUUUGGCAGAGAACUUUGGCAAAGUUAUCUGUGAUACCCAUGAGCUAUUGUUGCGUGUGGGAAGUGGGGUGAUUGAACAGUAAGAUUCAUGUGUUUUCUACUUCCUCAGAAGUCUUCGACAGAAUGCCCAUAAUUUCCGCAAAGCUGAGUGUGCGUGUGACAGGUGCUGACAAGGCUGGAAAAGUAGGUGCCUCUUCGAUUUCUGAGAUCGGCCCUCGUGGUCUCUGAGGAGCCCAGCUUUUGAGAAAGCGAGCGCGCUCUUCUUCGAUUUCUGAGAUUGGCAUUCGUGGUCUUUGAGCAACCUAACUUUUGAGAAAGCAAACGCCUCUUCGAUUUCUGAGAUCAACCUUCGUGGUCUCUAAGCAGCCCAGCUUUUGAGAAAGCAAACGCCUCUUCGAUUUCUGAGCAGGUGCCUCUUCGAUUUCUGAAGCUCCGUCGAGUGCAGAUUUUUAUAGGGGCUGGCAUUAAGUUCCGAAGCACACUUGAAUCUCCACCAGUAGAAGCUCCAUUCUUGCCCUUCUAAGAUCUUGAUUUGUCCAACCUCUUCUCUCUUCAACACCUUUGAAAAUGUCUGGCCCCUCCGACCGUCGUUUUGACUUGAACCUUGUUGAAGAGGCAGCCCCGCCUUCUCCAGACAACAUAUGGCGCCCAUCCUUCGUCUCCCCUACUGGUCCUCUUACCGUUGGGGAUUCCGUGAUGAAGAAUGAUAUGACUGCUGCUCGGUGGUGGCCAGGAACCUUCUCACGCCCAAAGAUAACAGACUACUUUCCAAACGGUCUGAUGAGUUAGCUGUUAAGGAUUCGCUGGCUCUCAGUGUUCAGUGUGCAGGUUCUGUGUCUAAUAUGGCCCAACGCCUAUUUGCUCGAACCCGCCAAGUUGAAUCAUUGGCGGCUGAGGUGAUGAGUCUCAAACAGGAGAUUAGAGGGCUCAAGCAUGAGAAUAAACAGUUGCACCGGCUCGCACAUGACUAUGCUACAAACAUGAAGAGGAAGCUUGACCAAAUGAAGGAAACUGAUGGUCAGGUUUUACUUGAUCAUCAGAGAUUUGUGGGUUUGUUCCAAAGGCAUUUAUUGCCUUCGUCUUCUGGGGCUGUACCGCGUAAUGAAGCUCCAAAUGAUCAACCUCUGAUGCCUCCUCCUUCUAGGGUUCUGUCCAGUACUGAGGCUCCGAAAGAUCCCCCUCCGGUGCCUUUUCUUUCUGGGGCUCUACCGACUGCUGAGACUUCUCCUAAGCAACCCUUGUGAAGGCUCCCUCUUGUUUGUUUAUUACUCAUGUAUAUGUACAUAUUUGUAGUUUAUCGGGGAUAUCAAUAAAUAAGUUUUCCUUCAUUUCAAUGUAUUGUGUUAAAUUACACCAAAACCUUCUUCGCUAAGUUCUUUGAAUUUUCUUUUGUUGAAGCUUGUAUGUUGAAGCUUUCUGAGUGGAGCAUGUAGGUUGGGGUAGUGUUCCCUUAAUUUCCCGAGUGAGGAAAAACUUCUCGGUUGGAGACUUGGAAAAUCCAAGUCACUGAGUGGGAUCGGCUAUAUGAAUCUUAGAACGCCAUUGUGCUCGGUCCUGUGUCAUGUCCUUCGUUAGAUCCAAGUACUCUAAGUCUUUUCUUAGAGUCUCUUCCAAAGUUUUCCUAGGUCUUCCUCUACCCCUUCGGCCCUGAACCUCUGUCCCAUAGUCGCAUCUUCUAAUCGGAGCGUCAGUAGGCCUUCGUUGCACAUGUCCAAACCACCGUAACCGAUUUUCUCUCAUCUUGCCUUCAAUUUCGGCUACUCCUACUUUACCCCGGAUAUCCUCAUUCUUAAUCUUAUCCUUUCUCGUGUGCCCACACAUCCAACGAAGCAUCCUCAUCUCCGCUACACCCAUUUUGUGUAUGUGUUGAUGCUUCACCGCCCAACAUUUUGUGCCAUACAGCAUCGCUGGCCUUAUUACCGUCCUAUAAAAUUUUCCCUUGAGCUUCAGUGGCAUACGGCGGUCACACAACACGCCGGAUGCACUCUUCCACUUCAUCCAUCCAGCUUGUAUUCUAUGGUUGAGAUCUCCAUCUAAUUCUCCGUUCUUUUGCAAGAUAGAUCCUAGGUAACGAAAACGGUCGCUCUUUGGUAUUUCUUGAUCUCCGAUCCUCACCCCUAACUCGUUUUGGCCUCCAUUUGCACUGAACUUGCACUCCAUAUAUUCUGUCUUUGAUCGGCUUAGGCGAAGACCUUUAGAUUCCAGCACUUCUCUCCAAAGGUUAAGCUUUGCAUUUACCCCUUCCUGAGUUUCAUCUAUCAACACAACACUAUAUCGUCUGCGAAAAGCAUACACCAAGGAAUAUCAUCUUGAAUAUGUCCUGUUAACUCAUCCAUUACCAACGCAAAAAGGUAAGGACUUAAGGAUGAGCCUUGAUGUAAUCCUACAGUUAUGGGAAAGCUUUCGGUUUGUCCUUCAUGAGUUCUUACGGCAGUCUUUGCUCCUUCAUACAUAUCCUUUAUAGCUUGGAUAUAUGCUACUCGUACUCCUUUCUUCUCUAAAAUCCUCCAAAGAAUGUCUCUUGGGACCCUAUCAUACGCUUUUUCCAAAUCUAUAAAGACCAUGUGUAAAUCCUUUUUCCCAUCUCUAUAUCUUUCCAUCAAUCUUCGUAAGAGAUAGAUUGCCUCCAUGGUUGAGCGCCCUGGCAUGAACCCGAAUUGGUUGUCCGAAACCCGUGUCUCUUGCCUCAAUCUAUGCUCAAUGACUCUCUCCCAGAGCUUCAUUGUAUGACUCAUUAGCUUAAUACCCCUAUAGUUCAUGCAAUUUUGUACGUCGCCCUUAUUCUUGUAGAUAGGCACCAAAGUGCUCGUUCGCCACUCAUUUGGCAUCUUCUUCGUUUUCAAAAUCCUAUUGAAAAGGUCAGUGAGCCAUGUUAUACCUGUCUCUCCCAAAACUUUCCACACUUCGAUUGGUAUAUCGUCUGGGCCUACUGCUUUUCUAUGCUUCAUCUUCUUCAAAGCUACAACCACUUCUUCAUUCCGGAUUCUACGAUAAAAAGAGUAGUUUCUACACUCUUCUGAGUUACUCAACUCCCCUAAAGAAGCACUCCUUUCAUGUCCUUCAUUGAAAAGAUUAUGAAAAUAACCUUUCCAUCUGUCUUUAACCGCGUUCUCUGUAGCAAGAACCUUUCCAUCCUCAUCCUUGAUGCACCUCACUUGGUUUAGGUCCUUUGUCUUCUUUUCCCUUGCUCUAGCUAAUUUAUAGAUAUCCAACUCUCCUUCUUUGGUAUCUAGACAAAUGAGAACAAAUGAAGUGUCAACCAUGUGUUCAAUAAAUCAACCACUAAUAAGAUUAUAUCAUAAGAUUCAACUGCAUAUUUGCAAUCCAUAGUAGUAAAAAUGUCACGCGAAAAAUAGCCCAAAUGAAAUAAGGCCAAAAUCAGGAUUAUAAUUGUUUGAAACUGUGAUUUGCAUAUAGUCUGUACCACAAAAAUGGGAGUCCACAUUAUCACAAAAGUAAAAUAUUAUGUAACUGCAAGUUUGUCCAUUGAGAGGGGAAAACACCAAUAUAUAUGAUUUAACUGCAAGCAUGCAGGUUUAGAUAGAAACCAAAGGGUCUGCCAAUGAAGGUGUAAAUGUUAAGCUAGCUAACCUGUGAUAGCAAGGCUGCAUUGAUACCAAUGUCAAAGAACUGCAAGAAUAUGCUAAUUGUCAUCGUCACAGGAUCCACAGAGCCAGCCUGUCAGAGAACGUAUUACUAUUUACCGAAAACAAAAAUGGAAACUAAUAGGGUAGAAAUCAGAAACAGACAUGUAAGCAAGUGAUUAUAGGUAAUACAUGAGACAUGAAAGAACUACCUCUUUGAAAACAACACUUUGCAAAGACUGCACGGAGAAAUUAAAAGUAGUCAGGCACUAUUCCAAAAAUCAAUAGUAACUUCAAGAAACACUUGGACAAGUUUGAAACUUUCCCUCUUUGUUAACAUGAAGAAAAUAAAAUUAAUGUUGGCAAACUAUGUAACUAAAGUAUCUUCAAUUCAAACAACCUCAAAAAAGGUCGUACCCAGUGCACAAAGCUCCCGCUUUACGCAGGGUCUGGGAGAGGUGAAUGUCGGCUAGCCUUACCCCCAUUUAUAUACACAGUAGAGAGCAUGCAUAACCUAGUAGGUUCUGCAUAUGACCCUUCCAGGUUCGAGAAUAUGCAGCAGCCUCCUGUCAAGUAAGACUUUAAGUUCAUACAACUUCAAUCAGGCACAGGUUUAAAGUAUUAAAACAGCCCGUGGUUCAUAUAAAUCUUCUUUACCUUUUUUUUUUUUUAUUACACUCUUGAAUGGCUCAUGGAAUUGAGUUUUAAAUAGCCUACACAAAUUUCCAAUUCAGAAAUCUUCACUUGUAAGUUGUAACACCUUCAAUUAAGAGACAAUGGUUUUUAAAAAACUAUCGCCAUGAAUUCUUAAUGGUUUUUAAGAGAAAUUUCCCUUCAUCCAAGCUAGCACAUAAGUUCCAGUCUUGCACCCAGGUUGAAAAAAAAACCAUAAUGGCUGAGGUGCAUUUUAGCAAAAGUUUAUGAAAAUUGUAGUACCUAAAAUAACAGAUGCAUGGUUCAGUGCAAACAAUCACAUAGGUCAGCAGCCCCAUAGGGAAUCAUUUAAAAUUUAUAUCCUAUAACUGAAAUUACAGAACUGGAAGUAAACCUUUGCUUGACGAAGCUCGUAUAUUUCCAGGAAUAGCUGCUUUGAAAGCUCUUCCAAUGCUAGCACUUCUGCUUCCAUGUUUCUGAUAUCUGUGUAACCAAAAAGAAAAGGGGAAGGAAGAGAGGGGGGAAGGGGGGGGGAGAUAAGUGAAAUAAGACAACUAUGACGUCCUUACAGAGUAAUGGCACUAUGUUGAUGGUCUGGAAAGCUUAAUACGACAACAUAUCUAGUAGGUCUCAAUGCAUGCAAAUAACACGGCUAGAGAAGUAUUAGAGAAAUUUAAAAGUUAAGCAAUCAUUUCUUUCAAAAGAAAAUAUGCAAGAUCUUAUCAUAAGGAAAAACAUAGAGCAAUACCAACCUUGCUCCUUUUGAUCAUCUUGCACAGAUUGCACAACAGUGCCAACAAUUAUUUUAAAGAAAGAUCUAGCUUUUAAUUUCUGCAACUAUAAAUUUAAUUAGGCACAAGUCAGGAUUAGGUUUAUAAACACUGCUAAAAACUAAACCCUUAAAGAUAUACAACAACAACAACAACAAAGCCUUUUCCCACUAAGUGGGGUCGGCUAAACCCUUAAAGAUAUGCUAAUACAAAAUGCAGUUUCUAAGUAACACCAAUUAGAACAACAGAAUAAGAUUAUGAUAGAGUUAGCACAUUGAAAUACGAUAAAAGUAUAGAAAUCAAGGUGCACGAGUUUUAACACUUUGGAAACAGAAAAGUAUAGGAUAGUGAAGAGAACCUCUUCUGGUCCUUGAAUGCGUUCCAUCUCCAUUUGAGAAAGAAUGAUUUUCUUCUUCUUAGCAAUACAAGUCUCGAUGGAAUGCAUGAGCUGUGUUUCCAAGGACUUGAUCUCAGUUUCCUCAAUUUCUCGGAUAAAGAGAGAUAAGUAACUAUAGGGCAAAUUGACAGCUCCAAAACCGGACAAGACAGCCAUGACAGUAACGCCAAUGCGACUGACCAACUGAGGCAUGGUGAAGAAGCCUUUAUCGGGGGAAGGCGUAGGGAAGUGAAUGCCCAUGCGCCAAAAAGCAUAAAGGAAGGAGAGCAAGAAUAAGAAGGAUCCAAGAGCAGCGCGUUCCUUCCGAAACCCUGAGAUGAAUAGAUGAUACGAUUGGAGUUUAAAUUUUCGUAAACUAGUAAGUACGGUAGUACAAGGUGUUUGUUAGAGGCUACGGGGCCGUAGAGGCAGUGGGUAGGCGUACCAUUGUUGCAGAGCAUCAAGAAACAAUGAUAAUAAGGCAACAUGAAAACCAGUAACAGUAUGAGACAAAACAAAUCGAGCUUCCAGUUGAGCCACCGGGCCCUGCAACCAAAUCAAACAAUUUUAUGUAUUUAUUUUAUAGAAAUCAAACGCAAAUGCAAAUUAUUAAAUUAUGCAAUCAAUCAUGAAAUUAUAGUUUCCUUGAAAACAGAAAAGGAAAAUGAAAAAAAAAAAAAAAAAAAACCUUUGCGAGAGAAAGGGGAUGAUCUCGAAGAGGACGAGCUGCAGAAGAUUGCAGGAGAAGGCGAAGACGACGCUGAAAAUGAUCUGAACUAAGACCCUCUUCUCUUCGUACUCUUUGUAGAGCCUUCGGUUCAAGAACCACAGCCCCGCCCAUCCCAGCAGCCCUAGCGAUCCCAACGCCACCACUCCCUCGUAGAUUGCCCAACCCCAACCCAUCUAUUCUCCCUCUUCUGGGAAUGAAUUCGAUCCUCGAUCCUCGAUCCUCCUCCUCACUAUUGAGUAUUCCUGAUCGAAUUCGUAAGGGCAUCCUCCUAAAUUUUCAUACAAACCAUAUUUCAAUUCAAUGAAUCUGGAGACAUUAACUCACUGGCAAAGUGGGAACUAAGAACGAUUUCUCCUGUUUCGUUUGUUUUUUCUGAGGGAAUCUUUUUUCGGUUUUGUCGCAGGGAAAAUUACGUUACGUUAACGGUUUUUUUUUUUUUUUUUUGCAUGUUAGUGAAAAAUAUGUGAAACAUAUUGUUGACUAGAUACGAUCUACUUGAUAGAACAUCAUACUUGAUACAAUAUGCUUGGUACAAUAAAAAUAAAGGUAUUUAGAGUUUUUAUGAAAAAAUAAAAUUAUAUAUGACACCACCGUCGUCACUAUCAUUAGCACAACCUGGCCUGACACGCCCCGAUUCCGAUAUUCCUCAAAUACCAGGAUAGGCACGUGCUGGCCGACACCAUAGGGUGACGAAAGCUAUUUAUUGAGUGCAAAUGCUGAAAACAAGGAAUAGAUAAGACUUAUAAAUAUAAAAAAAUAAUGAAUAUGCAUUUAAGAAACGUGUUCAGAGCAUACAACUAACUAAAACACUAAAAGAAAUAAUAUAAAAUUGAAUGAAAUAAAUGAUGGAUCCUACACUGAGAGGACUCAAAGAUGUCAAUGCGAAAGUGCAUGAACGUCGGGAUUGUAUGCCUUGAUUCUAAAUCCUGAAGGGGGCACAAAACAAACAUAAGUGGACCAAGUUAAUAUAUAUAUAUAUAUAGAUAUAUAUAUAUAUAUAUACUAAAACCAUUACCAACGUACUAACCCUAACUUUUUAUGAAAAUACAUAUAUAUCAUGAUAAAUAUAGGUUUUCCGAAACCUAGCAUGCCAUGCAAUGUCUCUAAUCAUAACUUGUAUAUAUAAUAACCACUAGUGAAUGUUCGAUAACUUUCCAAGCCUCAUGUUGGCUUCUCGUCUCUUAGCAAACAGUCAGAGGAAAAUAACCCCCAGGCCAUAUGCCAGCUCCCCGUCCCUAUGCUAAUAGCCAGAGGAAAAACACUUCAGACCUUAUGCGAACACCAUAACCAUCGCCUAGGACGGACUGGAAUCUAUCCCUACGUCCCUUAGCGGAAUAAGGACCACUAGGUAAGUACAAAACCAUUGAACAUACAUAUAUUGAAAAACAACUUCAUAGAAUAAAGUCAUUCAUCAUCUAUACUAUAAAGAGGUGUUCGAAACAUGUUCUAAAUAUCAUAUCGUCAUCCAUCAGAUAUGCUACAAUAACACGGGUUAUAGGAAUAAUAAUAAUAAUUCAAAAUAGUCUCAGUAAACAUGUUAUCUUAAAGCGUUUCAUUAUUCAUAAUCUUUAAAUCAUACUUUUCAUGUAUACAUUUAUACUAUCAAAACAUGCAUUUUUAGAAGGGGUCCACUCACAGAUACUUUGCCACUGAAGAGCCACGCAAACUAGCAAAGACGAAAACGUCACAAUAAUUGCCCCUAAACACAUAAAGGGUCCAAUAAAUAAAACUCUAUUAUAACAAUUUAAUUUGGGAAAACGGACAUCGGAAACGGAUUUAGGACGUCAAAUUACCCUAAGAGAGUUCCGGGUAAGUUUUGUAAAAGUCAACAGAAUAUUCCUUGAAUAUUCCAUGACGGAAUAUUUCCUAAUAGAAUAUUCCCUAAUGGAAUAUUCCCCAUAAAGGGUUUGGAUCAGUUAGGGUUUAGGGUUUAGGGUUUAGUAAGGACUUGGGCUAGGGUUAUAGGUUAGGUUAAUGGGUUAUAGCUUAAAGGAGUGAGUUUGGGUUCCAUGGAUUUUAGGGUUUAAAUGGUAUUGGGCUUGAAAGCCCAACCCAAUGUCUUUGGGUUUUUAGGAAUUAAAUAAUUAAAUGGGUUCGGGCUUUGGGGGUCACAGGCCUAAGGCUCGAGUUCUAAAUGGCCCAAAUGCCUUACUUCAAUUGGGUUUUGGGUUGAGUUAGGUAAUUAGGUUGGGCUUAAAGUUAGGUUUAGGGAUUAGAGGGUAAAGGGUUGGUGCUUAAAGGGCCUAAGGCCCGUGGUGUUUUGAGAAAAUGCCCGAGGACUUGGCUUCUUGGCAUGGAGGUCACCGGACCUAGUCGAAGGAUAAGACCGGAAUUUGGCCUGAAAUUAAACAAACUUUAACCGUUCAUAACUUUGUCAAUCCUCAACGAAAUCGAAUAAUUCAAAAACGAAAAUCGUAGUUCUUGAUAAGACCAAGAGAAUGGUACCUCGCAAGACGUCUAACUUGCCGUGGUUUGGCUGAAAAAUACCUCAAAAGCCACGGAGGUCACCGGAAAACUGGGUAAAAUUCAAAUGCAUAUAACUUCCUCAAUACUCAACGAAAUUGGGUGACACAAAAAGGAAAGUUGUAGUACUUAACGAGAUGAAGAGAUUGAUAUGUUGCAUGCUAGCCAACUCGUUGUGGUUUGGCCGGAAAUUGACUCGAAAGUGACAAGUUCCUCGCUGGAGUCUAGGAAAGUCUCCCUGAUGUGUUUCUUUGUAGUUUCGACAACCAAAACACACAGAUACGAUCAUAAAUGAAUUAUGAAGAUAAAAAGGGGGAGGUUUAGAGUGUUAUCGAAGCUCACCCACGUCUGAGGUGAUGGAAACUCACUGGAGUUCGUUUGGGGACAAAGAUGCAUAGUGACACUGCCACUGUUGGAGUAUCACGCCUUCAAGUCCUCAGUUUCAAUGUCUCCACGCUUAGGUGGUGUGGGUUGUGGUUGGUUAAGUGGAACUCGAAAAAGGAUGAGGGAUAACUACGGUGAGAGGGGGAGAAAAGGAUAAAGAUAGAGUAAAGAGAAAAAAGAGAGUUAAGGGAGAAAGAUGAGUCCACAGGGAAGAGAGGAACUGGGGACACAAAUCAGGGAUGGGCCCCUUGGGCUUACCAAUUAAGACUCAAAAAACCAAUUUUAAAGGAAAAAUAUAUAGCCUAAGGUGAAAUUUCACGAAAAUACCCCAUUCAUUUCGAUAAAAUCGAGGCGGGUUGUUACAUGGUCGCCACCACCACCUUUGUUGUUUCAUCAUCGCCACCUCACCCACAUCACCUCUGCCACCGUCUUACCAUUACCACUAACAUUUACAGGUUACACCUCCGUCACAGCCACCACCCCCACCAAAGUAUCACCACUGACAUCUAUGUUGCCAUCACCACUCUCAAUACCACACUCGCUGCAACAACCAUCUACUACCUGAGAUAUUUUUUAAUGUGCCCGAAACAUAGGAUGGUAUGCUAUAUGUUAUUAUACAAGUGGGGGAAGUUAGUUUUUUCAAGUAUUCCUCCACUUGUAUAAUGAAUGACACAUGAAGAAUGCACUCGUGUUCCAAACACACUGAAAAAUCUCUCCUCCUACCCCAUUGGGUCUUUCUCAUGUUAAUGAGCCAAAUCCUAGCAUUAAUUGUUUAACUCCCCAAUUUGCAGGACUGACUAUAAUACUUACAUAUGUUUAAUAUCAUUAUCAUUUGAUGGUCAAAUAUAGUUCAAAUGAAUAUACGUGUGUAACACAAUCAUCGUCGGAUUGUCAAAAUAAUGAUUAUAUUAUAUAUAUAUAUAUAUAUAAGUUUUUUAAUCAAAUCCUCAAUUUGCAUUUUUUCAUCAAUCUGUCUUCAAAAUAAGUAUAUUUUCAUAUAAUGAAAUUCUCUGUUUGGCAGGUAUUUUUCUCUCCCUCUUUCCUCUUUCACUACAAAAUAUCUAGACCAAAAAACAUAGAGUGUUUUUAGGAGUGAGUCAAGUUAUCUAAUUAUAUGUUUUUAUUUCGUUUAUACUCAUUUUGUAACAUUUCACAUCGCUCAGGGGAGUGGAUCCUGUAAGCCUUUAUAUGUAUAUUCCCAUCUGUACCUAAAAUGGACAAUAUCGUGUUACGGCAGAGUCGAGCCCGGGAUGUGGUGGGGGCCCGGGCCAGGAUGUGACACAGUUUAUGUUUUAUAAAUAUAUUAAAAAUCAAUUAAAAUAUUAAAAUAUUAUGCAUUUUCCAACUCCAACAAAUCUAAUUAAUAUCUUAUAAAAAAAAUACUAAUUUACUAACAUAAAUUUAUGUGCAAAACGUUAUACCCUAACUCAAGUAACAAAUAUAUGAACCUAUAUUAUACAUAUACGUGAGAUAUGAAACCUAAUUAAAAGGUAGAAAAAAACAUAACAUACCUACAAGCAAGACAAAUUAAUUUAUGACAGGUUGAUUAUAAAAAAAGAAUUUGUCAUAUAGGUUGAUAAAUAUAAUUAACCAGUGAUAUAAGUUGAUUAUAAAAAUUAAAAAUAAAAUCUAUAAAUGGGGUUUAAAGCAGGAGGAAGAACGAUAAAUAACAAAAAAAAAAAAGCAAAGAGAUAAUUGGGAAUAAAUUUGAUUUUUAUAAUAAAUCUUAUCAUUGAAUAGAUAGCUAUUGGUAAUUAAAUAAUUAAUAUAACAAAUUGGACUAUUUAUACUAUUGGCUCAAAAAAUUGGACUUAUAUCAAGUUGAGAAGUGUUAUUGGCACUAAAAAAAUCUCAUUUUACACUCCUCACAAGUGUAUUUUUUUUUUUCUAAAUAUAGAAAGUUUGAAGUGUAUAAUGAGAUUUUUGGAGUGCCAAUAAUCCCUAUCAAGUUUUCCUUUUAUUUUAAUAACUUUUAGCUAGCCCACCUAUUGAAAAUUUGCAAAUUCCACCCUUGCAUUUUAAUCUUCCUUAAAAUAAUAAGAUUAGAAGGGAUGAACUUCCUUCACAUAUAGUCCCCUUCUGAUCCCCAUCAAAUAAAAAAUAUCAUUCACUUUUAUCUUCAAUAUACAUUGAAAUUUGAAAAUUAUCCAUUAAACUUCAAUCAUAUCAUGAUUAAGUCACGUCAAUAUCUAUAUUAUUUUGUUAUAGAUAAAGACAAAAUGAAAAAUGUGAGAGGAUGAGGGGGAGGGAUAGGAAGGGAGAAAGUCAUACUCCGCCACCUUAUCACUCCACUAAAAAAGUUAUAAGACAACUAGACGACAUAAGCAACAUUGAUGAGCGUACCAAUAGGUGUAAGAAGAGAUUGUAGUAUUUUACACGAAAUUUACAUAAGCUAUAAAAAGAGAAAUUCAGAUUUAAGUGUAUACCAUGUAUAUUAAAAUUUAGCUUCAUUUAUGAUUGCCGACAACUAAUAAACACUUUAAUGUGAAUACUUUGUUUAUACUCAAAUUUUUCAUAACUCGAAUUCUUUCUUUUUCUCUUUCAUGUUUGUAAAUAUGUCAUAAUAGAAGAUACUAUCGUAUUAACUCACAUGCACUGCACCAUAUCAUAGCUCUAAAUUAAGCUAGAUCCCAUAAAAACUCGAAAUUAAACAAGAGUAAUACUACGGUGGAUGUCAUUGUGUUGCAUUUUUUUUACCACAAAAAAAAAUGUCAUAAUAAUAGCUAUUAAAAGGGUGUAGUAAUUUUUUAUUUUCCCGCCAAAAAGGAAGACAGGGUCGGAGAGGUCAGAGAACCUAUUGGGGGUGGGUUAUGAAACCCUAAAUAUGGCUAAUUAUGUAGCCUUUUUCCAUAAAAAAUAAAAAAUAAAAUAAAGAUAUGGCUAAUUAUGUAGAGUGUAGAAAAGAAGAGCAUCAAUGGGGUCUGCAUCUGCAAGUGCGGGUGAUUCACCGCCCCCAUCAAGCCCCGAUGCCGCCCAAAACAACAUCCAGGUCCCUUGCGUUCCCUUCCGUUUGUGUUUAUUUAUGCUUUAUUAUUUCUAUCUCUACAAAUCUUGUCUAAUUUUAUAAUUAAGCAGCAUUUCUUUGUUCUUCACAGAAAAAUCAACUUCUGGUGGGAAAGCCCGAAAGAGGCUCGACCUAUGCCCAACAAAGCUUAAGGAAGGCGACGAGGGCUGCUUGCGAAUGGAAGCAUUUCAGUUAGUUUGGUCAGGAAUCGAAUCCUCCAUCAAGGACGUUCUGAGGAAUAUGAAUGCUCAGGUUUUCAACCCGAUACACAGCUGGGUAUGCGAUUCCUUCGGUGCUAUGAAGCCAAUUGCUCCCAUCCCUUCUCCUCUCGGCACUUUUCCGAUUGUCACGCACGCUACUUCUUGUGCACAGCUCUUCACUGCGCUCCUUCUCACCGGUAUGCUUUUGCUCUUCAACAUCUCUUCCCUUUUAAUUUAAGGAAAAAUAAUGAAAAUAACUUGAAAACUUUUAAUGAGAAGGAGAAAAUAAAAGGUAAAAUGAACGGUAUUAGGAUUGACUUUUUAGUGUAAAAAUGUGGAUUUUCGUUAAAAUAAACAGUACCGGUGCUUUUCGUUAAACUUCCCUUUAAUUUAUCUUAUUUCCAACUUGAGUUGAUUGAGUUGACCGAUUGACUCAUUACUGACAGGGAAUAUGGAGUUUGUUGACGUUUUUUCGACAUUUCAAGAGCUUGGCCUCAGCCUGAAAUCUCACGGAUGCCAUGUCGCUAACCUUUCCUCUCUCGACUUUUCACCGAAGAAUGGGAUUGCUGGUUGUCUUUCAAGUUUAUUGAGACAGUUUUUGAUGCGCUCUUUUGAUGUAAGUAUUUACCUUUCUUCGUCCCUUCAAUUUAAAUUAUACAACAAGUAGAUACUUACUCAAUUUAAUUUAUUUUAUUUUACUCAGGCAGGUGAUAUGUCCCUAUUGGCAUCAUGGUACAGCCAGCACGGAAACUAUGGUUCUCCGGUGGUUGUCAUUAUAAACGACAUGGAAAGAUGUUCUAGUCCUGUCUUGUCUGAUUUCAUUCUUAUGUUGAGGUAUUCUAACCCCAACCCUCACUUUUUGCUUAUACAAUAAACAACACAGAUACUCUCCGUCCAUCCUCUGUGAGUACAAGAUUUUGCUUACCUGGGCUUGUAACUUGGUCCACUAUUUGUAUCAGUGAAUGGGUUGUCAAGAUCCCAGUCAUUUUAAUAAUGGGAGUUGCAACAACGUUGGAUGCCCCAAGAAUAUUUCCUUCAAUGUGCUGAAGAAGUUGUGCCUUUGCAUGUUCACUUUGGGAUCACCAGCUGAGAGGAUGGAUGCAGUUGUUGAGGCUGCUCUUGUGAGGUGCUGCUCUGGUUUCGCUAUGGGUCACAAGGUGGCUAUGUUUCUGCGAAACUACUUCUUCAAUCAGGAUGGUACACUGGCAUCUUUUAUUAGGGCUUUGAAGGUUGGUAAUUAAGUUGUUGCAUUUCCUCUCAUGUUCUUUUGCCAUCAUGACUAGGCCCCUGCUGAUGUAAAAAUGUAUUUCUUUAGAUAGCAUCUGUCCAACAUUUCUCCUCGGAGCCUUUAAGCUUCAUACUUGGUCGAUUGCUUGUUAAAGAAGGCAGCAAGGUUAGCAUCCAUGAAGUAUCACUUUCCUCCUUGUGUCCACCAUGUUUACAAUGUUAUACAUUGAUAAAUAGCAUUCGAGCAGGAUGCAUGACUUAUACCCACAUUUGAACUCAUAUUCCUUUUCUGCCAUCUCUUAUUUAGGUUUUUCAUUUAAUUGACAAAAGAGAAGUAUUUUUCCCUUUUGUACUCUACUGAACUGUAACAAAGUGGAUAAUUGGUAACAGAUCCCUUCAUGAUCCUUUUUUGGAUUUGGAUUCUGGAAGGAAAGGUCUUUUGACACAGAACAUUUGGUUUAUGUAUUGAUGUAUUUAUAUGCAAUCAGAUAUGCACACGUUGGAAUGUCCAUGAAAGCAACAAUAACCAAUUUGGCGAUUAUUGCUCCCUGCUUGCGUUCUUUGUGAUUUUAUUAAUUUUAUUUUAUAAUACCAUGUGUUGAUGCACAAAACUGGAUGGUCUUGGUACAACGUAAAUCCGACCGUGAAUUUGCAUGUAAUGUAAAUAACACAAGAUGUAUCGUGGUUCACCCCAAUGUUUGGGCUACGUCCACACUGAAUAUGUAUUUAUCUGAGGGAGAGAGAGAAGGAGCUCUGUAAUGUGAGAGCUUUGAGAGGAGGUGAGAGGCUUAGGGUUUGUGAGGGUGAGGAAGCCCUUUUAUAGAAUAAUGGCUCAUCUCCUAAUUACAUAUUUGCCUCUUCCUUUAUUACAUAAUUACAUUUAAGUCCAUCGAGUAUUUAUACGAUGUCUAAAUACGAGGCCCUAAAUAUGGUAUAAACAGUAGUCCCCCAAGUCUUCAGUCAAGAGAGUCUUUUGGCUGGAGACUUGAAAUUCAGCCCAUGUGUGGGCCGAAGUAACUAGAUGUUGUCUUGAACUGAUGCUUGAUAUGAGGCGGUGCUCAAUCUGAAAUGAUGCUAAACUAGAAAUAGCACAUGUCGCGAGGCUGCUCGGCUCGUGGCUUAUGUUGCCUUGGUUGGCUCGGCUUGUGGCGUUGAAGGUGAGGGAGUCCCUUUUAUAGAAUAAGGGCUCACUCCUCAAUACAUAAGUGAUGGGUUAGGAGUGAUGCUCGCGGCGAGACAGUUGCUCAGCUGGCGGCGUUGCUCUCUAAUGAUGGUGAAGGAGUCCCUUUUAUAAAAUAAGGUCUCGCUCCUCAAUACAUAAGUAACAGGCUCAGUCCCCUAAGUAUUUUUCAUGAGGCCCAGUUGAGGCUCAAUAUAUGGUAACUAAUGUAGUCCCCCAAGUCUUCGGUCAAUAGAAUCUGUUGGCUGGAGACUUCAAAUUGAAUCCAUAUAUGGGCCGAAGUGGCGGUUGUUCGAAGGCGGUAUUUGUAUACCCUGCACUGAAGCUUUGUAAGUGAAGCUUUUGCAAGUGAAGUUUUGAAGCUAGAGCUCUGUAAAUGAAGCUUUUAAAGCUAGAGCUCUGUAAAUGAAGCUUUUGAAGCUGUAGCUCUGUAAAUGAAGUUUUUGAAGCUAGAAUUUUUGUAAAUGAAGCUUUUGAAGCUAGAGCUUUUGUAAAUGAAGCUUUUGAAGCUGAUUGACAUGAGUGAUGCUCAUGAAUGUUUGAUUGACAUGAGUGAUGCUCAUGGAUGUUGUCAUGAGUGAUGCUUAUGAAUGUUAACAUGAGUGAUGCUCAUGAAUGUUGACAUGAAUGAUGGUUAUGAAUAUUUAUGUAUGAUUGUCAUGAGUGAUGCUCAUGAAUGUUUAUGUAUGAAUGACAUGAGUAGUGCUCAUGUAUAAUUUGGAGUACUGGGCAUACUUUUGAUCACCUGGUUGGUGGCAUGAAGGACAGUACGGGUUGUACAUUUCAUCACCGGGUUAGUGGCAUGAAUGGCUAGUUGCCAAAUGAUAUUUAGAGUACGGGUUGUACAUUUCAUCACCAGGUUGGUGGUAAUAACGGCAGUUUGCCGAAUAAUUGUGGAGUACUGGGCGUACUUUUGAUGACCUGGUUGGUGUUAUUUUAGGCUUAUGGGCAUUCGUCCUCUACACAACAUUCCAACCCAUUUAUUUUGGGGUUUGCCUUUUUUAUUUUUUUAUUUUUACCCUAUGAUGGGGUUUAUACAGAUAUCUCUGAAAAAUACGAAAAAUAAAUCACAUCAUACAUCUGCCAAGAAAAGUAAAUCAUAUCAUUCUGGUGGGGUGUUUAUUCCUUGCUUUUGCAGUGUCCCCAUGUGCUUCCCUUUUGCUUUCUCUUUUCACUUUCUUUUCCUGCGCAGGCGCAAGCGCAGUGGAUUUUGAUCUAAAUCUGCCAAUAGCAUUGCUUCUGUUAGUGCUUUUGCUUUUCUUCUUUGUGAGCACAUGACCCCUCCAUGACUGCACCACUUUUUCUUUACACAAUUUUCAAAAGCAGCUGGACGAUUAAAGAAAGCCAUAUCUAAUCUGCUUGUUGCAUCAUCGGCAUCAGGAUCAGGUUCGUCCAUUAUUCCUUGCUUGCCCCCUGCUUUCCAUAAUAUCCAUAUUAUCAGGAUCUGGUUCUUCACGAGACUUGGUCCCUGCUAACUCAGGUUGACAGAUCAUAGACUCACUAAAUUCUUUUCCAACUAAGGUCCUGCUUCCCGUAAAUUGAGAUGAUGAUUCAUCAGUGCCCUGAGAAUCAUGAGGACUGGGAUCGGCUCGUACUGCUAGUCUCUCUCAAGUCAUCGCCGCUCAAAUCGGUGAGCGACUCACUUCCUCCACCGCCAUCGUCAGCUGAAGACUUGACGGGCCCAAUCCUCUUCUUCUGCAAAUUCUCCCUUUUUCUCGUUAAAGACUCCAUAUUUUGAACUUUUGAAAACGUUUGAGCUGCUGCAAACCAGAAACCAUGCUUUGCAAUCUACUCAAGUCAUAAUCAAUAUCAGUGAAAGAAUGUUGCACUCCAGCAACAUCUUCAUUAAUUGACCUUGAGAGCUUAUUUUGCUCUGCCAUUUUGUCAUCCACAUGUUGAAUUCUCUGCGUCAGGUGCUUAUUUGCUUUAGCAACAGCCUCUUUCACGUUAUCCAAAUUUUUUGUCAAAUUCUCAACAGCAGUAGCCAUACCACGCUUUGUCACAUACAUCAUAUCUGAGAAUUUUAGACCCUUCCACCACAUGUAUCCAUAACCCACUGCUCCCAAGGUAGCUGCUGGCAUUAUUAGUGAUGUCAUAUUACCAAUUUGGCUACCGUUCCCAUUCACAAAAACCGUUCCCCCGCCACGCGACGAGCCAAAUUGCCUGAUCUCAGCUGUCAUUCGGCUAAUCUGCGCUGUGAGGGAAUCAUAGUCACCGUCUGCGUGUUCCCCGGAUCCAUUUAACAAUGACUGAAGUUCACCGAGCAACUCGGAUAAUUUACCGUUCUUAAGAAGGAUGGUGCCAGUAUACCCUGCCCCAGCUAAGAUCAGGAUCUUGGAAACCCCUAUUCCGCUCUGCAUAGCCAUGGCGGAGUUCGUGUUCGAUCAGAAAGUGCAGGAAGGUGAGGAGAGUGGAUUUUUGGGGUGUCAAUUGGGGAUUUAUGGGUUGGAGAAUAUGUGGUGGAGGUGUGCAUGGCAGCCAUUUUCGACUGGUAAAAAGGCAGACAGAGGAGAGAGAGAGAGACGGAUGGGGUUUUUUUAUUUACUAGCUUCAAUAAAGAGGUCGGAUGCAAAGCCGAAGACCAACGCCUGCUGGUGAGCUUGCUCGCCAGAGUAAAGGUCCAGCAACGCCGAGCAGGAUUUGAUGACGCAGGUGACUGGAGGAGCUCAUCUCAGCAGAGGCCAAGAUCUUUGCUGCUUGGUGGAGGCGGAGCCAGAUACGUCACCAACUUUUCCCGCACUGUUUAAGUAGAGAGAGAGAUUUGGUUUCUUCUGUUUCUAGGUUUUUUAGGAAAGCUUUGGGUUCAUGGGUUUUUGCAGAUUUUGCAGAUUCUGUAGAUUCAUGGUGGAAGUGAAAAAAUGAAAGAGAACCGACAUAGUUUUUCGUGUCGAUUCUCACAGACGGCGCCAAAUGUUGAUGCACAAAACCGGAGGUCUUGGAACAACGUAAAUCCGACUGUGAAUCUGCAAGUAAUGUAAAUAACACAAGAUGUAUCGUGGUUCAUCCCAAGGUUUGGGCUACGCCCACACUGAUUAUGUAUUUAUCUGAGAGGUGAGGGAAAGAACCUCUGAAUAUGAUAGGGAAUGUGAGAGGGGUGAGAAGGCUCCAGAAAUGGCCUCUGAGGGUGAGAAUGAGCCUCCAAUUGUGAGGGUGAGGGGUCCUUUUAUAGAAUAAGGACUCCUCACUUGUUACAUAUUCGCCCCUUCCUUUAUUACAUAAUUACAUUUAAGUCCAUCGAGUAUUUAUACAAUGUCUAAAUACGAGGCCCUAAAUAUGGUAUAAACACCAUGCAUCCAUGAUAAGUUUUCUCCAACCUCCCCCAACCCAAUGCCAAACGAUGUUUUGCAUAUUUUUACAAAGAUGUAAUCUGGCCAUUGAAUGGAUCUCAGAAUGAGAAAGUGAUCAAGUGUGCUUCCAAAGUUUUAUGUCAUGGAAGAUAAUCGUAAUCCUAAGAUUUAAUAAUGUUUUUACAUUUUUAGUAAAGGAUGAGUUCAAAAUGUGGAUGAAAAAGAUAACGUUCUGACAUCUGAUGGAAAUUCUGUCACCAGGGAUCAAUUGGCUGAACAAACUGAUAUCAAUAUAGCUCAUGGUUUGACAGAGUCGAAGAGAUUGCAGAUGCUCUGGAGCACUGUAGUUCUGGUGACUACUUUUUUAUAUUUUAUUUUUAUACAGAUACUAAUUAUUAGUGCUUCAAGCCUUCAACAUUCCUAAGCUUAACAUCUUCCAACUUGUAAGCCUAAAUGCAUAUUUUGAUAUGUUUUUACAGGUUUUGGCACCUCAAGCUGAAUUUUUGUAUCUAAUGUCUGAUGAGCGAAGGAACACUGUUUAGUGUUUAUUUCUUCUUUUUAUUUCUUAUUUUUGUAUUUUCUGUAUUUUGACACACAAGUGUUUUGCAGUGCUUAUAUGAAGCUGGGAAGUUCGACAAAAUUCAAUUGUUAGACUUAUUUUGCGAGGUGCUUGAUCCAGAUAUUUACAACUCAUUGGCUUCUGAUAAUGAUAAUCUCACUGGAGUGGGAAAAAGUUUUGCUACAUCUUUGUCAAGUGAUCACCGUGUGCUUGAACAAAAUUUGAGCUCCCGAAAGGGACACCUAAUUUGUCAGGUAGUUCACAAAGUGAGGUAAGUAAUGUGGCCUAAAAAAUUCAGAUGCACUGAAGUAGGUCUCAUGUUUCAGUUGCAUGCAUGGUUUACUUUGCCUGAAAUUGUUGAGAAGCAUAGUUUUUUAUUUUUAUUUUUUUUUUAAAUUAUUUUAUUUAUUAAUAUUUAUGCUUUGCUGUUUCAUUCUUAUUUAAGCACCAUGAUAGUUAGUCUCAAUUUAGAUGAGUCUCACUUUCUCUAUUCCAUGUUUUGCUAGAUGUCAUUCCAUUUUUUAUUUUUUAUUUUGUUUUACAUAUUUUUAUCAUUUAUGUUCCUCAUAAUACUGAAAUUGGAAGUUUUGCUUAUCCGUUAACUUUAAGUUUCCUUUUUUCUUUGUCGGUAGUCUCUAGUUUCUGAACUGUCUAAACUUUGGAAUUGACCAGGGAUCUUCCUGCAGUAUUGCUCUGUCAGUUGCUCAAAAGUUGGGAAGUUUUCACCGUCAAUGUUUUUGAGGUAUGACUCUACGACAGGGGUUUCUUUGUUUUCUUUUCGGCUUUUGAUAGAUUUGAGGUAUGACUCUAUGACAUGGGAAAUUCUUAUCACAUUGGUUGCCAAAAUUGCUUGGAAGUGGUCCUUGUAUUUUUUUUCUUUCCAUGAUUAGGUGUUGCUUAGAUUUUUUGGGUUGCAUGUACGGGUUGAUGAGUUGUGUUGCUCGACAGGAGGUAUAGUAAUGCUGUGCUAUUUGGAGAAAAGAAGACUGGUUUUCUGAACUGAAUUUGUCACAGAACUAAGAGCUUGUGUUUUGUGAUCGUGUUCUGCAUGCUUUGUUAUAGACUUUCUUUCUUCUCUUCUUUUAAUUCUUGAAUAUCUUAGUAGUGAAUAUAUGCACAGAAGAUAAUUUGGAAUUCUUCGUUUGCACAUAACUCCUAAAGGAAAUCUUGAUCUACUAUCUUUUAUUAGUUAAAUACUAAUCAAACAAUUGAAUAUCAACAGAUGAUAAUUUGGAAUUUGGACAUACAUCUCAUCAUUUAUCUUUUCCUCAACUCAAAUAUAUUUAUUUCCUGAACAUUUGUGAAAUCUGUUGAUGGGAAUAUAUAUUUCUUAACAGCUUUAAAGGUAUUCAAUGGUCUAUGUGUGCCUUAGAGAUGCUAAACAUGUAAAGUGAGUGCCUUACAAACGCUAAGCUUUGUUGUAAUUUUGUCACCUUAGUCUCAUCAUCUCAUGAGUCUCACCUAGCUAUUACUAUAGCAUGCUUCAAGCAGUGAUAGUAGUUGAUUACUAAGUUAAUUGAGUGACCAUAAUAGAUUCAUGAGAAGGUAAAGGAGCUGCAGUCAUUAUUGAAAUUUGAGGGAGGAAGUUGCAAACCAGAUUUGACUGACAUAUCCAGUUAAUCUCUCUCUCUCUCUCUCUCUUAUUUAUUUAUUUAAAACCUCUGUUAAUGUGACAGGAGAAAUAGAGCUCACAGUGGAAAAGCUGCUAUAUUAAUUGACUACAUGAUUAGGUAAUUCUUACUACUUUGCAUUUGUCUUUUAAAAACUUAUUACCCUAAACCCUAAUGAACUGACCUAGUCAAUCUUGAAUCGAGAGUGGACUAAGAAUGGACGAGAUGGUACUAAAUUACUAAUACACCAGAAUCGGAAUGGAAACCAGUUUAAUUACUAAAAUGCCCUGAGAGGUGUUAGGUUAAAGUGAAUGGGUAAAUUUUUAAAUUUUAGAAAUUAAUGUGUAAAUAAUAAAUUUUGAUUCCUUGUUUUCCAAGAAUCAAAUACUAGCUCCCAAAAGAGUCCAAUUCUUCCAAAAUCAGGAGUCAAUCCUUGUUCUGUGCAGGCCCCGCUUAUACUUUCAUUCCAGCAUUUUUAGUGAACACAUGAAUAAUCCUUAAUCGUCGUCUAACUCUUUCUUCUGGUUCUGGAAUUUAAGUCACUGUUUUUGGAUUUUGGUUCUUUUCUUUCCAGAUACAGUGUUUGUUUGUGCAGUGCACAGACAAAACAAACACUGUAUCUGGGGUUUUUUUUUCUUUCCCCAAAACAGUGUUAUGUUUUGGGUUCUCCUGAAACAGUUUUAUGUUUUGGUUUUGUAUUUGUUCCAUACACUUUUUCUCCCCUUUUUGCCAUUAAACUUCUUUGAACUUGUUUCGGCUGCUUUGUUCCAAUGAAUGCUUCAUUUUUCAACUUUGAUUUGGUUGUUUUUGAAAUUGGGGAAUUACCGGGCAAUUGGCAGUUAGAUGAUGAAGAUGAUCCCCUGCCGCGGGGACAUGAUUCUGCUGCAGGUGACAGUGGGCAAUCAUCAGGAAAGAAGAAGAAAGCUUCAUUUAAAGAGAAGUCAAGUAAGAAGGGAAAAGAAAAUGGGGAGGUGGGGAAGAAGAUCAGAUGUGAAGAAAAUGGUUCAAGGAGAGAGAGAGCAGGCAUGAGGAAAGUGGCUCAAGGAAAGACGAAGGGAACAAGAAGACGAGGAGGCGGAGAUAUUCCCAAGAUAGUGCCAAUAGUUUUGGUCCUUAUGGUGGUGCAUGGACUCGGUAGAAUAUUUGUUGGCCCGUGGACAAUAGUUUUGGAUGAUUUUUUAUUAAACUUUAAGCCCUUUUGGUUAAAUAACAUUUUGGGAUGGUUUUUGGUUAAAUAUUUGUUGGCUCAAACCCUUUUCAUUAAAGCUCCAUUUUAAUUUUACUUCAUUUCAAAAAAUAUUUUGAAGUACAUUUGCUUUGCAAGUUUGAGCAACCUCGAUAAGUGAUUGAAGAGAAGAAGUUAAAUACUCAAAUUUUAUUUCUUUGUCAUAAUACUCAAUUUUAAAAUAAAUACUCACCAACUCUCUAACCCCUAAGAUCAUCUCUAACAUUUGAGUUAAAAUCUAAAAUUUUUAACCCAUAAACAAUUUUUCUUCUCCAAUGAUUAGAGGUUAAAAUUUUAGUUCAAGAUUCUUAAAUAAUGAAUUUAAGCUUUUUUUUUUUGGGUAACUUUUUUUAAAAUAGAUUUUAUGUAGAUUAUAAUAAUUUGUUUCUAUGGACAUUUUUACCUUAAAAUAUUUAAACUUCGAUAAAAAGUUGAAAAUUCACUAAACUGAUCCAUGAAAGAUGUAUUUAUAGAGUUUUUGGGUAAUUUUGAUUUAAAUAAUUUUUUUAAUUGUUUUAGCCAUUGGAUUUGAUUUUGGGCCAUUAGAUUUUUUUUUACCGUUAGAUUUGAUUAGGGGUGGGUUCGAAAAAUUGAAAACCGAAAACCGAACCGAAUUGAAACUGAAAAAACCGAACCGAACAAAAAAACCGAACCGAAUUGAAAAAACUUUGGUUCGGUUUUAGUGAUCUAGAAACCGAAUCGAAUUAAUUAAAUUAAAUUUUUUAUUUAAUUAUUUGUUUUGGGUAUUAUUUUCUAAACCCAAUUUGUAAGUUAAAAUGUGUUAAACCCAAUGUGUUGCCAAACUUUAAGCUCAAAAUAUUUAAAAAAUGCCUAUAAAAACUCUAAACCCUAACCUAUUAUUUCUCCCCCAUAUAAGGUUCCGGAACCAAACCUCCUCCUGAAGUACCUACAUCCAUCUCCAUAGCACUGUCUACUUCUGCCCCAACUUUUUUUCUUUUCCAAAUCUACUCUCAUAUAACAUGUAACAUAAUCCAUAAACAUUUAUUUCAGGUAGAUUAUUUUGGUAAUUUGUGAUGAAAAAGAAUCCAACACACAUUAAAUAAAUCCACCCACGCAGUACUUUUACUAAUCAAGUUGUCAACAUGCAGUUACAAGCAAAAACAACCCUGAUCUUUGAACAACAUCAUACAAUUUAACUUUUCUAAGUCAUUUGUACGAUUUUUGUGUUGUGAGGUUGUUAGUUUGGACUUUGGAAGACUUGAUUGAUGAUUUUAGUUCAACUUUAAAUGUUUAUUUUCAUUGUCUUUGAUUUUAGUUAGAAUGCUUAUGUUAUGAUUGUGUUGGAUAUGUUAAAAUUUAAAAUUUCAAUGUUUUUCAUUUUUUGAAAAACAAAAAACAAAAUACAGAAACCGAACCGGAAAAAACUGAACCGAAAAAAAAAACCGAAACGAAAAAAACCGAAAAAAAUGAACCGAACCGAAAUUUCGGUUUGGUUUCGGUUUUGGCAAAAAACCGAACCGAUUUAAACCAAACCCACCCCUAGAUUUGAUCAUAUUUGAUCUUAGUCGUUGGGUUUUAUAUAUUUAAAAAUUAGAUAGGUUUGAAUCUGGACUAUAGGAUCAACCAAAAGUCCAAUAAUUAAAAGUGUCGGAUCGAAAAAGAGCUGUUAAGCUCGUUUUGGAUGGUCGACAUUCUUGCCAGGGGCAUGCCCCAAUUCCAGCCAACCAUUGCGGGUCUCGUGCUUUGGGUGCAUCGCCUUUCUGCGGUCUCCACUUUUCUGGAUGUGUGCACGCGCAUAAGGUUGACCAGCCUUUUAACCAUGUCCAGUAUUUAGAGUUAAAUUUGCCCAAAUUUUAGGUUUUAACCCAACUUAUUCUACACCCAACCAUUGGAGAAUGAUUGAUUUGGUUUAAAACCUAGAUUUUAAGUGUCAACCCAAGAGUUAGGGUAAAUUUCUCUAUAGCCUCUCUGAGCCCAGAAUGAAUGAAUAACCGUGGGUUGCCAUCAAUUAUCUCAGUUAAAAUUUUUUUUAUUUAAUUUAUUAAUAAUAUCCCACUACACGUAUAUAUAUUAAAAAUAAAUAACAAACAAACACAAAGUGGAAAAGUCAAAAAGUAAAGUGGGAAUGAGAACGAAGAGAAAGGGAAUUUGGAUCCUCUCCGGGGCAAAGACUGGGAUCCUCGUGACUGGUUAAUAGGAACUGUUAAAUUUUGAUUUAACAGUUACAAACAGAAAGUUUUUCUAAAAAUUAUAAUAAUUGUAACCGUUGAAUCAAAAUCUAACAAUCCAUGUUGUCUGAUCAGGAGGAUCUCAAACCAUUGUCUGGGAGAGGAUCCAAAUCCAGAGAAGGGAGCCCAAGUAUGCGAAGAUUCAUGAUGAAAGGGUGACGUGGCAUAAAAAGCGAUGCAUUAAAAAAAAAUAUAUAUUGUAAGAAAUUAUGUCCGAGUAUUUUAUUUUAGAAGUAAAUAAGCCAAAAAGCCGCCAUUUCAAAACCCUCCUCACCCACAAGUCUGUAGUGUAAUGUAACCUGUAUUUUGUUUUGUUUUGUUUCUACAAAGGGAAAGCAAAAAAGCGAAAACAAAAAGGGCGGACUGACUGAGUCAGUUGCUUAAAUUCUCAGAAACCCUAAUGGCUACACUGUAAAUGGACGAACCCAAUGAGCGAACGAGGUAUGCCUUUCUUUUCUUUUGCUCCGAAUGAUAGAUUAGAUACUAGCAGUCUCUUUCUCUCGUCUCUCGUCUCUGUGUGUGUGUAAAUUCGAAAUUUUAAUCGAUAUUUUUGGUUAAUGUUGGUGGAUUUCAUUUCAAUUUUGAGUUGGAGUUGUAGGUUUUCGUCCCUUGAUAGUUUCGGGAAUUAUUUUAAUUUGACGUCUUAAACGAAUGAGGCUUAGUAUUAUAUUAUCAGACCCAGACUGCAAAAUUUCUUGUGCAUUCUUAUUCAAGGGAAAAACUUUCUAUUCUCUUCCGAGCUGACAUUUGGGCGGGCAACUUGUAAUUGCACUGUUGCUUGAUUUGGUAGAUUGUAAUCAUAUGAAUGUAAUGUAUAAUCUUCAGUUUUCAUUAUAUAACUGACAAUCGAGGAAGACGCUCUAUGUAUUUCUGGCAAAAUUCAAAUUAACUACAUAUGACAUCGCUACUUUCUGAUUUUUCUAAGGCAUUCCUCCCAAUCCCACAUUCCUACCUGCCAUGUUACCAUCUACAUUCCUUUGUUUCCAAUUUUAAAACUGAUUAACCAUAUUGUGGAGGAAAAAAUGGAAAAUUCUUGAGGCCAUCUUUUGCCUAGAAACCAUUUAAGGCUUAAACCGUAGUUUUAAUGCCCAAAUUCCUAAACUUAAAACAUCAAUUAAGCUUCAGACAAUUGCGCUUUGACUUUCGUUAAAUUGGCAAUCCUUGUGCAUUGGACAAUCGCGUCCUCCAGAAUAUAUAUAUGUAUAUAUGUAUGUAGGGUGUUCACAAGAUGUACCUUGGGAGGAACUUACGGGCAGUGAAAUUAACCACGUGUUUGUUGAUUUCUACAUCCAGUCAUUUUAGUAAUUCUAAGUCUUUCAUGUGAAAAUCUGUGAGCUUACUGUCUUUUCUCUGUUUCAUUUGUCUUGCUUAGUAUUCAUGCAUCAGUGAUUGCAAUUUCAUGUCAAGAUUGAUUAACUUCUCUUUCCUGAUUCAGUUUUACCUAAGACGAUGUCUUUCGUAUGGAUAGCAUGGAAAUUUGGUAUAUUCUUGACAUAGGUCAUUCUUGGAUGAUUCAGAAUUUUUUCCUCCGACACCACUAGCUUUUAAAAUGAAACCAAAAACAACUGCUGUUCCUAGAGUUCAGAGAUCCAAACCUUUUCAGGGCGAGGGACCUAAUUGGGUUCUUAUUGCUGGUGGUGCCUUGUUAAGUACGCUGUCAAUUCGUCUUGGUUACAAGCUGAAGCAAGCACUUGACACAAAGCCCCAAGAGAAUGCUAGUAAUGGUUCGAAUGUUACUUUAAUGUGUAUAGCUUUUUCAUUACAGUGACUCCUACCCUUUAACAUUAUUGUCAAUUUCAGGAAGUGGAAAAUCCUCUGACCGAAGGAAGUCUGCAGGUUGCUGUGUGCACUCAAAUGUUUAUUCCUUUACACAACAAAAUGAUGGCGGUUGCUUUAAUUGCAUGUCAGGUAUGGAGUACUAAAUUCUUGUCUUGGAAUUUCUGAGGGUGUAAACAAGUAAUUUCCAUUCAGGAUUCAAAAUUAGUUUUGGCCAGUUGUUGAUUACCUUCAUUUGCAAAGUUCUCCUUUGGGUGUGAAAGGUUAUAUGAUAUAUCGUGAGAUACAACCAUAUUGAAAAAGAAGACAAUGAGAAACUCAGUGUCCAGUUUUUAAUGUUGCGCCUUAAUCAAACUUGGCUUUGUUGAGAAUAACAGCAGUUGAACUCUUUCUGAAGAGUGAGGCUGAAGAACUGUAUGGAAAGAUUUGUUGUCAAACAGCAAUCUGUAUUUGGAUUGAUGCUAGUUGAGUUAUUUGAAUUGCGUGAUGUUUGUUGCAAUUUAUUUGCAGCACUCCCUUAUUGUUUUAUGUGCAACAGCUUGAUAUAUUAUUUGACAUUCCAUUAUAAUAAUGUGGUUGUUUCAUAUAUGUAAUGGGUUUCAAAUAGGAACUGAGGGCAUGAUGGAGAUGAAGUGCCUGCACAAUGACCAGAUGCUGGCUGAAUCUGAUGGAGCCCUGCCUUUAGUCACGGUUCCAGCCCCUGAAUUUAACAGGGAGAAUGGCAUUGUCUGGGCAUCUUCUCCUGAUCGCCUUGAGUUACGUCCAAAGCCAUUCCUCCACUAUUCAAACUGCUCAGAUUCUCCAUGUGUUUCAGAAUCUGGGUCCGACAUCUUCAGUAAGCGGGAAGUAAUACAAAAACUGAGGCAACAACUGAAGAGAAGAGAUGACAUGAUAUUAGAGAUGCAGGAUCAGAUUGUAGAGCUGCAGAGUUCACUGAAUGCGCAGCUGGCACAUUCAACCAAUCUACAGUCACAACUUGAUUCAGCAAAUGGGGACUUUUUUGAUUCUGAGAGAGAAAUCCAAAGGCUUAGGAAGGCAAUUGCUGAUCACUGUGUGGGACAUGCGAGCCCCAAUGACAGAUCAUCCCAUGUCACUAUUUGGCAACCUGAAGAAAGAAAUGGUUAUGUGAAUGGAUUUCCUGAUGGAGAAAGCAACUUCGAUGCAACCGAAAGAGGAAGAGGGGAUGAAGAGAGGGUUGAGAUGCUCAAUAGGGAAGUAGGAGAAUUAAAGGAGGUAAUGGAAGGAAAGGAAUACUUGCUACAGAGCUACAAGGAGCAAAAAGCAGAGCUCUCGUUGAAAAUCAAAGAGUUGCAGCAGAGACUGAAUUCUCAACUUCCCAAUAUUUUGUAGGAAAUUUUUCGUUUUUUGUGUAUUCUUUUGCUUGUUUUGUGAUACGAGGUUUCCUACUCCUAAGCAUCAUUUUCCGCCCUCUCCUUGCCAUACCUAGUUUAGCUUAAUUUUUUUAUGACUGUCUUUGUGCAUGUACGCGGGAUGAAUGAGAUUUUGGUGUCUGGAGUGGCAAAAGGUUGGCUAGUGGUGGGAGGGUAAAGAGAUGCCUUUCCCGUAAAUGCUGUGGUCCUUUCCUACCUUACUUCUAUUUUUGUUGCAAUUGCCGUGUCCAAACCCUGUUAUGAGUCUAUGACUAUAAACCUUGGUCCUGCAAACGAAUGGUGAAGUUCAAACUUCAGACCUAGAGAAGAAAAUUACGCAAUUCCAGAUUUCAAAAUACAAGAAAUGAUCAAAAUAAAGAAAGCUCAAUUCUCACAAAGGACGGACAUUCUACGCAAUUCCAGAUUUCAAAAUACAAGAAAUGAUCAAAAUAAGGAAAGCUCAAUCCUCUCAGAGAACCUUUUUAAACUAAUGUCCAUUAUGUCCUCUUCUGUGACAGCGUGGAAAGGCGCGAUCCACUAAUAUAAUUAGGUAUAAAAGCUAUCCAUCUUCCAUUGUAACUGCAGCUUGUAGCUUCAUUGGUCUUUUCCCCUAUGAGUGAUUCAAAUUUUAAAACAAGCAUUUCUCCAAUUCUCAUGCCGUAUGAAACACACAACAAUUCCAUGACAGCCGAUGCCAACUCAUUUGCCAUGUAAAAGGAACCGGCUUUCCUGUUUAUUAACAGCUUCUCUGUCCGUGAUCAAGCAUGAUUUGCCAAGACCUCUAUUGGUUAACGAGUGUUCAAAUCAAACUCCCCAACUUCACGCCAGCCGUCCUGCAUGCCUGUGGAUCCAUUCUCAGUCUCUUCAUCAUUUAAAAAAUCCUCACACGGCUCCUUCUCAUCUCUUUGCACAUUAUUUCCCCAUCCAUUUAUCAUCUCUUCUGGGUUAACCCCAUGUUCCUGCUCUCUCAUGUCAAGCCCAAUCGAAACGUCAUUGCCUUGAGACCCAAGUGCACUUGGCCUUAUUGGGGCCCGAGCUAACAUUUCAGCAUGUGCUUGUGACUCAACCCGAGCUUGCUCUGCCUGAGCUCGUAAUUUAGCUUCCCGGCCAGCUUUCUCUCUUGAAUCAAACUCUGCUCUCAAUUCCAGACAUGUCCUUUUUUCUUCUUGGCAAAGAGCCUGCUCAAUCAUAAGUCUCUCUUCGGACCGAAAUUCCCCCAAAGCUCGCUUACGGGAAAUUAUGUUAAAGGCUAGUGCCUGUUUCUCAAAUGUUGCUGUAAACUCUGCAACUUUAGCAGAUAUGUUGUGAUCCCACUGCUGAGAGCGAGAUGGAAUCGUGCCUGUGGUGUCAGAGUCGAGGAUUCUGUCAUCCUCCUCUGCCUCAUAAUCUGCCACUACAUGAUAAGGCAGCAACCUGCCAAUUUAAGAGGAGAAUAGAUAUAAGAAAGCCACAGAAGUGCCACAAAUUCUCAAAAGUUCAAGCACAAGCAAUUUAAAUAAACACCUGGAAAUAAAGCUUACCACUCUCAACCAUCAUUUGGGAAUGAUUCAAGUUAGAAGUAGGUACCACCAUCUUAAAGAUAAAAUGGUCUACAACUUUGUCAUUAUCCUUAUUCAUAAAUAUCAGCUACGCCAACUGCUAAUAAGUGUCAAAAACAUAUAGGCCAGGUUCGGGGGACACACAUCAACACAUUUCAUACUAUUAGAUCUGAGCACAUUAAAUGGUUUAGAUCACUCCCAACUUCCCAGAGAAAAGGAGAAAAGAGGGGAAAUAUAACUAGAGGGACAAAAGAGCAUAUAAUCCAACUGCACUCACAUCCACAACCAACCUCUUUGACUCGAGAUGACAUUUCAUCAACUGCGUGGAGCAGUAUGCAGACUAACAAAUGAAGAGUAAUAAGAAAGUUUAUAGUAAAUGAACUUAGAACCCAAGGCAACAAGUAAUGAUAACUCACUUCGCUUAAUCCAUCUAUUCUAUAGGGCAUAAUAGCUAUAAAGGGUAAUGUUAAUAUGAAACACAAGAUUACAGGUCUUUAUAUUCAUCUCCUAAUAUAUACUGUUCUGCUACCACAAGAUUACACCUCCCCCCCCCCUCCUUUUUUUUUCUCUCUCUCCCAGGGAACGAGUCCAGGGUAUGACUCUGUUACGAAUUAUAGGUGCUACUCUAGGACAUAAUGACACAAUGCUAAAAAGAAUUUAUUGUACAGUAGUUGUGAAAUUAAAAUGAGUGCGACAUCAGUUUAGACACAAUACUAAAUAAUCCAAAAACCCAUACAGAAAUGACCACAAGACUGGAUAAACAAGUAAUUAUUUUGAAGUAUCAAUUAGUGCUGCUUAGGCAUGUUGAAUAACCUUCUACAUAACUUCAUUGGAAGUCAUCUUGGUUCCUCAUCCAUUAGUAAUAAAAUUCUUUUGAACAGAGAGAUUGUGGGUUAGAAGAGGGGAGGGGAAAGUGAAAACUUUUUUUUUAAGAAAGGAACGAUAUUUUAAGACAAUAAAGUUACACAAGUGGACAAGAAGUCCACAAGAGAAAAAAAAAAAAAGAAAAAAAAAAACUGAAAACAAACAGUGAAAACAAAAAUGAACCCCCUUCCCAAGUGGACAAGAACUCCACCAAAAAAAAAAACUCAAAACAUACAGAGAAAACAAAAAUGAACCUUUUUCCCAAUAAAAAAACAAAAAAAAAAAAAACAAAAAUGAACCCCCCACAAAAAAAUAAAUGAAAACAGUUAAGAAAACUGAAGGAGCUAAAUGACAGCAGCUUUCCAAUCAAGCCAAAUCACUGAAAAGGGCAAAGUUUUUAACAUCUGUUGAAACUGAAGCCCAUAAUGAAGACCAGAAACGAAUUUUCACCCAUAUGUCCUCUUUGCUGAUAUCAAUAUCAUAAGGUGCUGAAGAUAAUAUAUCUAAACGAAUCUUUUAUGCAAAAAUAGUAACUCUUGUGUCGAUAAAAGGUGAAGCACAUGAAGUCAAUCAAAAAAAUCAGAAACUGUAAAACUAUGUCCUAUUAAUUGCAAACCAGCAUGGAAUAUGUAAAGAAAACACAGAGAGGGUUUACUUCAGGGACAUGAUACUGAAAAACCACACGUACAAAGGGAAAAAUCAAGUUCAAGGUACUGACACGGACAUAAAAAUGAUAACAACGUGAGAAUGUGUUGCUAGCAGAUAUCCUGGAAUAGGUGAUGGGGUGAUGUAUGAGAGCAAGGAUUCUUCCAUUACCCAACAAAUUAGCAGUUGCCUCAACAAUAUGUGUAGUUGGUCUAUCGAGGUGUUUGAAUUAAGUCGUAAUUUUCAAUAAAAAAACCAUUUGCAAAUUAGGGAUAAAGAUAUCAGGACCUGAAUUUGUAUAACAAAUACCGAAACGUAAAGGAACCCAAUGAUUUCAAUGAGAUGGAAACCCUAAUCAGUGAAAAAAUUAAC